rnacentral:lncRNA from 1 species
AUGAAUUAAAUAAAGAACAAGCAUAGACAAACAAUAAUAAUCAAGUGCGAAUAAAAUUGGUAGGGUCUGAGACAAUAUAUAAACAUAUUAAAACGUACAUGACACAUAUCACUGUGGACAUUGUCUAUGGCCUUAUUACAACCAGCAAGAGAAUUACAUAAGCGCGUGAGAGCGCGCGCGCACACACACACGUACACACAUGCAUGACAUACAUGGAUUGACUAGAGGUCGCCCCAUAUAGUCAACAAUUUAUUGGAGGUAAACAUUAGCAUAACUUGGCCAUAGAUUGAAGCAAUCCAACACAUGCCGAUGAAUGGCAUCCAUGUUGGUAGUAAUGCAAGCAUAUUAUUUUAGUACAGUCCUUCCAUCUUCGGAGCCACUCCCAUUUCAUCCAUCUUAGCAACCACUGUGAAAUUAAGAUAUCGAACUCCCAUUAGCUCAUGAGUCAAUUUUGCAAGGGCAGGAGAGUAUAAGGGGUCUUUGUGUAGGAAGUAAUAUGCUUGAAGUUGUGAGAUGGGACAUGAAGUCAACGAAGUACAUUAAUGAAAAUCCGUGGAAGGUCACAAAUAUGUAUUAGUCCACCAUACGACACAGAUCUUGUAUUUACAAAUAUCAAAGGCAUUGAUUAAAGUGAGUUUAGUGCAUUUACCAGAAUCUUCAAGAAGACACGGGAAACAACAAGUGUUCUUGCAGGCAAAGUCAGAGCCACCCGCAAAAAUACAACUAGAACAACAUGCUUUUGCGGCGAAGCUUAUGCAGCAGCCGCAAUCUGCGGUGGUCGAGUUGACGGCGAGGCUCAGGAUGAGCAGGCACAUGAUCACCUUCAGAGUGGUAGUGCUAAUGAGCAUCCUCUUACCCUCCAUUUUCUCUUGUUGAUGUUUCCUGCCUUGGUUAACUAGCUAAGUUUCUUGGUUUUGUGUUGAGAGGUGCUUCUUAAAUGGAUGUUGCUCGCUGCAAUUUAUAGGCAAUUGCAUUACGUUAUGGUAUGUAUAAGGUGCGAGUGGGUGGAAAAUCAUGUAGUAUUCAAUGUGACAGUAUCGACAAUUGAUGACUUUGGUUGGUAAACCGGACAAAUUCAUUCACACGUAUCUUGCGGAGGAAAUGCUGCAUCACCUACCAUAUUCAAUAUUAGGGAGAAAGCCUGAACCACGCCAAUAAUUUGCAACGAGGCACAAAAAGCUACCCCAAGUAGUGGAGUUCGUAUGAUAUUAGCAAGCUAUAAGCGAUAACCAUGGAGGCAAUUAACACUAGCCCGUCAAAGAUGGUGCUAGCCACUUAUGGUGUUGAAUGCAACUUUUUGCAAAUAUGUAUGGACUUUGGUUAGUAAAAUUUCAACAGGCGCUACAUAUAUAUUUUGCUACACAAAAUUGAUUGGAAGCAAUAGAGUAGGCUAGUUCUUAGGUAGACCUUUAGCAAUGUUCAUCUUGGCCAUGGUGUCAGAGAUCAGAUUAUAAGUAUGACGUACAUGCAACUUGAUCCCUUGUCCUCAUAUUUUAAUUCCCGCAUUCACAAGUUGCACGUACUAAGCACUCCCAAUUAUUACCAUUUUCAUUAUGCAACUCUUUCUAUUUUUUAUUUAUUUUUUAAUAUACAAAUGUCAUUUAACAAACAAUCUAUUUUAUUCAGCUAGCGGAACUCGGGCAAAACCGUUUUUUAUCUAAGUCUACAAAACCUAGUAUAUUGUUUGGGCAUACAUUUUACAUUUCUAAGAUAGAACCCCAAGAUAUUAGGCACUGUGUCAGUUGUAUCAAACUUAUUUCUAUAUGACAUCGAAAUGUUAGAGAUAUUGAUAUGAUGCAAUGCACCGGGAUUAUCCUUAAAAAUGAAAAACAAUUAAAAGGAGGAAAACUUGUGCAAAGAGUCCUUACGUGAUAUGGUCCUCAUCAAAAUUACCAAAUUUGGAAUAUGGUGCUUUGAAAAAAAGAGUGUUCUCAAAAAGAGGUAUCAUGCCUGGCUUAUCUUGGCUUUCAACCCAAAUGGCCAUAUCCAUUGCAAACAUUGUUUUUCGUUUUCCCAUAUUCGGCACACACAUGCAUCUUGGAACACAAAUCCAACCAACAACCAAUGAUAGUUUCAAUCCUUAGAGGUGCGGGCGAGGACAAUUAAAAACUUGUGAAAUAGGUGUACCCGAAGAAUAAUUCCCUAUUCGAAUAUAUAGAUUGGGUCACUCUGUCUCAAAAUCACAACAAAAAAAUGUUUUGUUGAACAUCCUCUGUUAGAUAAGACAACAAGAUGAUGGUAGUUUUGGGUCCUUCACAAAACAAGAAACUAACCAAGAGAUUAGGAUGACUGAUCUAUCCCGCGUAUGUCUUGCAAAUCAGUUGUUGAUAACAUUGCCAUUAGGUGUUUGAUCGCAUUCACAUUCAACAUCUUUGGGUAUUUUACUAUCAUUGAUGUUGACACAUAUGGUUGUUUCCAAGAAAAAUUUAACAAAAUCCGAAUGAUUGAGAUAACCAUCUGCAAUGACUAAGAAAACCCUCUGCAAUAUUCAAUAGCUUAAAGUAUUUUGCAACUUAUCUCUACAAAAAAGGAGUAUUAAUCAACUUGCUGCUCUACAAAACAUGAUACUACCUCAUCCAUAUCUAGACAAAUCUCAAAAAAGUACUAUUGAUCGGAGGGAGUACAAAGGCUACUGGUAUACUUUCACAUGAAAUACUUUCUUCUUGCAAAAGAUAUAAAUGGUGCUAAUAUUAUACAUUUAAGUUUUAUAGAGGCCCGGUGUGUUCGUUAUGCUUGUAUCACUUGAUGUGACAUUCUCAUGAAAUAAAAAGUGACAUUUAUCCAAAAAAGACCUCCAGUCUUGUGUAAACUCCAAUCUUUAUGGAAAACCAUGCUUGCAGAAUGAACCAAUCGGCUAAUGCCAGUCUUGUGUAAUAUAUGUAGAUCAUCUCACAACUUUUGCAUUAGAUCAUGGUUACUUCAUAACAUGAUGAGAAGAAAUUCAAACCCAUGAAAAGCUUAUGCAAAUACGAUAACCUUGUAAAUUGCAUGAAAUAGAACCAACAAUUGAAAAUAUUAUAAUUAGGUGUUCGUUCACAUUCAUAUUCAACAGCUCUGGAUAUUCAUUAUUGUUUCAUGUUUUUUAAGAGAUCUUAAUGAUUCAAAUUGCAUUACGUUAUGAUAUGUAUAAGGUGCGAGUGGGUGGAAAAUCAUGUAGUAUUCAAUGUGACAGUAUCGACAAUUGAUGACUUUGGUUGGUAAACCGGACAAAUUCAUUCACACGUAUCUUGCGGAGGAAAUGCUGCAUCACCUACCAUAUUCAAUAUUAGGGAGAAAGCCUGAACCACGCCAAUAAUGUGCAACGAGGCACAAAAAGCUACCCCAAGUAGUGGAGUUCGUAUGAUAUUAGCAAGCUAUAAGCGAUAACCAUGGAGGCAAUUAACACUAGCCCGUCAAAGAUGGUGCUAGCCACUUAUGGUGUUGAAUGCAACUUUUUGCAAAUAUGUAUGGACUUUGGUUAGUAAAAUUUCAAUAGGCGCUACAUAUAUAUUUUGCUAUACAGAAUUGAUUGGAAGCAAUAGAGUAGGCUAGUUCCUAGGUAGACCUUUAGCAAUGUUCAUCUUGGCCAUGGUGUCAGAGAUCAGAUUAUAAGUAUGACGUACAUGCAACUUGAUCCCUUGUCCUCAUAUUUUAAUUCCCGCAUUCACAAGUUGCACGUACUAAGCACUCCCAAUUAUUACCAUUUUCAUUAUGCGACUCUUUCUAUUAUUUAUUUAUUUUUUAAUAUAUAAAUGUCAUUUAACAAACAAUCUAUUUUAUUCAGCUAGCGGAACUCGGGCAAAACCAUUUUUUAUCUAAGUCUAGAAAACCUAGUAUAUUGUUUGGGCAUACAUUUUACAUUUCUAAGAUAGAACCCCAAGAUAUUAGGCACUGUGUCAGUUGUAUCAAACUUAUUUCUAUAUGACAUCGAAAUGUUAGAGAUAUUGAUAUGAUGCAAUGCACCGGGAUUAUCCUUAAAAAUGAAAAACAAUUAAAAGGAGGAAAACUUGUGCAAAGAGUCCUUACGUGAUAUGGUCCUCAUCAAAAUUACCAAAUUUGGAAUAUGGUGCUUUGAAAAAAAGAGUGUUCUCAAAAAGAGGUAUCAUGCCUGGCUUAUCUUGGCUUUCAACCCAAAUGGCCAUAUCCAUUGCAAACAUUGUUUUUCGCUUUCCCAUAUUCGGCACACAUGCAUCUUGGAACACAAAUCCAACCAACAACCAAUGAUAUUUUCAAUUCUUAGAGGUGCGGGCGAGGACAAUUAAAAACUUGUGAAAUAGGUGUACCCGAAGAUUAAUUCGCUAUUCGAAUAUAUAGAUUGGGUCACUCUGUCUCAAAAUCACAACAAAAAAAUGUUUUGUUGAACAUCCUCUGUUAGAUAAGACAACAAGAUGAUGGUAGUUUUGGGUCCUUCACAAAACAAGAAACUAACCAAGAGAUUAGGAUGACUGAUCUAUCCCGCGUAUGUCUUGCAAAUCAGUUGUUGAUAACAUUGCCAUUAGGUGUUUGAUCGCAUUCACAUUCAACAUCUUUGGGUAUUUUACUAUCAUUGAUGUUGACACAUAUGGUUGUUUCCAAGAAAAAUUUAACAAAAUCCGAAUGAUUGAGAUAACCAUCUGCAAUGACUAAGAAAACCCUCUGCAAUAUUCAAUAGCUUAAAGUACUUUGCAACUUAUCUCUACAAAAAAGGAGUAUUAAUCAACUUGCUGCUCUACAAAACAUGAUUCUACGUCAUCCAUAUCUAGACAAAUCUCAAAAAAGUACUAUCGAUCGGAGGGAGUACAAAGGCUACUAGUAUACUUUCACAUGAAAUACUUUCUUCUUGCAAAAGAUAUAAAUGGUGCUAAUAUUAUACAUUUAAGUUUUAUAGAGGCCCGCUGUGUUCGUUAUGCUUGUAUCACUUGAUGUGACAUUCUCAUGAAAUAAAAAGUGACAUUUAUCCAAAAAAGACCUCCAGUCUUGUGUAAACUCCAGUCUUUAUGGAAAACCAUGCCUGCAGAAUGAACCAAUCGGCUAAUGCCAGUCUUGUGUAAUAUAUGUAGAUCAUCUCACAACUUUUGCAUUAGAUCAUGGUUACUUCAUAACAUGAUGAGAAGAAAUUCAAACCCAUGAAAAGCUUAUGCAAAUACGAUAACCUUGUAAAUUGCAUGAAAUAGAACCAACAAUUGAAAACAUUAUAAUUAGGUGUUCGUUCACAUUCAUAUUCAACAGCUCUGGAUAUUCAUUCUUGUUUCAUGUUUUUUAAGAGAUCUUAAUGAUUCAGAUUGCCCUCUGCAUCAAGGGAGAGGAUGCUUAAAGUAAUUUUUUUUCAAAUGUUCUAUUAAAGAAACUAGUAUUGCUCAACCUGCUGCUAUAGAAAAUAGAAAUAAAGGCGCAUAUGCUCCUUGGGUGCCCCAGAUUUUAGCCUAUGUAUCCAUAUGUAGGGUAAUAUCAGUGACAAUGUUUUCGAUGGUGUCAAGGAGAGGAUCAUCUACAACUUAGAACAUCUUGUUCAUGGAACCCCAUAUUAUCCAUACUACAUGUAGUAGAAUUAAGCAUGGGAUAAAUAUAGCCUGAGGGCAUUGCUGUUGAGGAGAGAUCACAAAUUUGGAUGGAGAGUGCGUGCCAUAUCCUUCAAGCAGCAGGACAGGUGAAGAAGAGGUUAUGUUCAUCGUGGGCAGAUGGAGCUGUUGAGGAUUCUUUGUUUUUUGUAGAUUGCAUCUUGUGUUUAGUCUGUCCAGGUAGAAGAGCCAGGCGAAGAUCUGUACUCUCUUUCAAGGUGCGGUCGUGUGGAUCCGAAUGCUGCGGGAGAUAGGGUAGCAUAUGCCCCCUCUUGAUGAAAGCUGACCCAUUAAGCAGCCCUCGCUCAUCAGGAUCCUGCAACAGAGAGUUUAACGAGCGAAGCUCUGGCGAGGCAGUUGAGGUUAGUCGGUUACGCAAGGCAAGUUCGACCUGCAUGAUGGCAUCUUGGUGGGAUGGGUGAGAGAAAAUGGUAGGGCAAACAGUGGCUAAUGGUACAGGUUUGAUCAACCUGUCAAGCCAGAACAAACAAUAUCAAAUAGAGCACUGAGAAAUGGUUCAGGUUUCCCAAAAAGAAUCUUUAGUUUGUUAGAUAAUAUUAUUGCAUAAUUGUUUCGUAGAGUAUCAUAUAUGGACUCUUGGUCCGAUAUGAUCUUCCUUGUGAAUGUAGGUACUUCAAAACAUGAGGAAACAAUAUCUCGUUUAGUCCUAGCCAUAAAAUUAAGAUUUGAUGGUUAUUUUGCAGCACUUGUCAAGGAUUAACAUGGAGGCUCGUAUGGUGCCUCCAAUUAAUAAAUAUAUGAUUUUGACAUGGGCUUCUUAUAUAUUUUGCUAUAAAAAUUGAUUGGAAUAAAUACGUCCGCCUAGUUCGCUAGGAUAGGCCUUUAGCAUGGUUUAUCAUCUCCAUUGUGUUGAAGAUUAGACGAUAAGUAUGAAGUAAAUGCAACUUGAUCCCAAGUCUUCAUAUUCCAAUCCCCAAAUUUACAACUUGCUUGUACUAUGCACAUCCUAUUAGUAACUUUUUUUGCUAGGCACACUUUUUAUAAUUUAUUAGGUGUUCCAUCACCUUCACAUUCAACUGCGGGUAUUCUGUUCUCGCAGAUGACUGGCUCUUUCAUAAAGAAUGUUUAAGGAAGUCUUAAUGACUGGGAAAGCCCUCCAGAUAGAAUGGUUGAAGUACUCUUGAACUGCACUGUAUGUAUUGCUUCUAGCUUUGGAUGAGCUUAAUAUCAUUUACGAGUAUUAAUCUAGUUCAUAUGGAAGUUUGUAUCCAAGCUAGUUGUGUACGUAUAUUAGGAGUCCAAGUGUUUGGCCGAGCUUAGCACUAGUCCGACUAGGAUAAGUAUGAUGGUUGAUCAUGUACACGUGGUUUUUUGAGUUUGGGUUCCAAGGUGUGUCCUAAUGCUAGUAGUAAUAGGAAGUACGAGGUACGAGUAGGAUUAGUUGGUCUAUAGGUUGGCCACAUUGUGUGUGUGUGUGUGUGUGUACAUACUAGCAAAAUAGAUUGUGCGUUGCAACGAGAGAGAAAAUAACACACACUCUUAACCUAGUAACCAUGAAUCAAGAUUCUAAUAGGUCCACGCCCUUUAUUUUCAAAUGGAAUCACAUUUUUGUUGCCGACGGUGGUCUCAGUGCUCAGAAAACAAAAUCGCGUUUGAAUGUGGUCAGUCCUAGGCCUCUCUCUCUCUCUCUCUCUCUCUCUCUCUCUCUCUCUCUCUCUCUCUCUCUCUCUCUCACGCGCGGGCACACGCACUCACUCGGAAUAGUAUGAGAAAUAUGUUGUUUUCAGCGGUGUGCAUGCAUGGUUAUCGAUGUUUUCUUUCCUCUCAAUCUGGUUUUAAUGGGUGUUUAUUUGAAAUUCGAAUCGCCGCCAGUACCAAAGAAAAAGGACCAUGCACAAUAAACUAAGUUUGCACCAAAAAUAAUAUUUAAGAAAUAUUUAACAGCUAAAAAUAACAUAAUGUUUAGAUUCUACACAUUUUUUAAUCAAAUUUCAUAUAUAACAUGUUAAAAUUAGAGUUACGGUUUAAAAAUAUGAAUAAUUUUGUCUUAGAUAAACUAUGGAUUGAUUAACCGAAAAGUCAGAGGGUUUUCUGUUAAAACAACAAAAAGAUCCAGCUGACUUAAAUAUGGAUGACGGGUUGAUUACCUGAAAUGUCAGGGUUUUAUUGAGAAAUUCAAAAACACGGUUUGGCUAUGACUUAAACGUGUACUGCGGGUUAAUUUACACAAAACACAGGGAUUUUUUUUAAAUGGCAUGACGUUGAGCAGUCACAAGCACUCUGUGCUUUAUUAUUAGGUGUAGAUAUAGACGCGAGGAUAUAUCAAGAUUGUACCGUGAAGAAAAGGAGAAAAGAAUAAAGAAGAGGAAGAAAGAGUACGACAAGGCCCCUUGGAUACAAGGUUUGUGUGUGUUUGUGUGUGCGUGUGNNNNNNNNNNNNNNNNNNNNNNNNNNNNNNNNNNNNNNNNNNNNNNNNNNNNNNNNNNNNNNNNNNNNNNNNNNNNNNNNNNNNNNNNNNNNNNNNNNNNNNNNNNNNNNNNNNNNNNNNNNNNNNNNNNNNNNNNNNNNNNNNNNNNNNNNNNNNNNNNNNNNNNNNNNNNNNNNNNNNNNNNNNNNNNNNNNNNNNNNNNNNNNNNNNNNNNNNNNNNNNNNNNNNNNNNNNNNNNNNNNNNNNNNNNNNNNNNNNNNNNNNNNNNNNNNNNNNNNNNNNNNNNNNNNNNNNNNNNNNNNNNNNNNNNNNNNNNNNNNNNNNNNNNNNNNNNNNNNNNNNNNNNNNNNNNNNNNNNNNNNNNNNNNNNNNNNNNNNNNNNNNNNNNNNNNNNNNNNNNNNNNNNNNNNNNNNNNNNNNNNNNNNNNNNNNNNNGUGUGUGUGUUCAUCAUGUUAUAGGUGGUGAAACACACUAAUGAGCAAGGUAAAACUCACAUCGAUCAAGGUCAGUGGCAUUUGUUCAAGUUUGUAAGGUGACUGUAGGACGCCUAGUUACGUCUGUGAACAAAAAGAGUCAGUACCGGCAAGGUCAGUGGCCAUAGUAGUAGCAGUUGUAGGAUCAACAUGUAGGAGUAUCAAGGUAGACACGAAGAAUGGAUAACUAUCCCAGUUGCACCUACAAACUGAUCCAGAAUUGUUUCCAAGUUUUUUGCAGCAAGUGGAGUAGCCUUGACAGCGACCAAGGUGGCAUUGACAUAUUAUGGUGUCGGUCAUAGGAGAUCUGGUUAUAGUGGUUGAGAAUAAAAUAUUCCGUUUGCCUUUGAUUAAUUAUGCGUUGUCUGUAAUUUGGUAUUCAUGAAAGUCACUAUCACGAUUAAUUGACCAUGUUCUAGAUCUCUACAUCAAAUUUAUUCCUGUUAACCUCAAUGUUAUAGCUACAUCGAGAUACUUAUUUUUCAUAUGCGAGUAAUUGGUUGAGCUCUCCCAGCAGGACGAAGCAGCAAAGGGAGCAAAAUGUAUACCAAACUGUGGAUGAAUGCCACAAUGGGGUAACUCGGAAAGUUUAACUCAUGCUCUAUGUCUUGCCCAAGGACAACAUACUCCGCGUGCAACUUUUUGUGUAUAUACCAGACGAUGCGCCAUAAACUAAUUUUUGUUACAAAUGGUAACAUAUUAGUAUCAAGAUGACACAAAUUUCCAUUACAAAUAUACAAUAAACCAUUGUAGACCUCAUCGGUGUGAAAAAUUAAUUGGACGAACUAAAGUUUUGCAAUGAGAUGCUGAUGGUAGGCAUCAACAUGGACUUGGAGCUCGACUUGGAGUUGUCGUACUACUAGUAACUUUCUAGAUCACAUGGAAAACUAUGAAUCCAAACAAGAUAACAGAUACAGUGAUGUAUUAUAUAUGAGCACAGAGAGAGAAAAAAAUAGAAACUUUAAACAUGGCUUCCAACGGGUUCUUCUGGUGUGUUAAGAGCCUUUAGAAGAUGAAACUGGGCUAGCUAUGGCCCUAGCCAUAAAGAACAUGGAAUUAGUGAUAUUACAACCGUGAAGGCUAACACGAAUAAGUUUCUAAGCGCCCCAACUGUGAUCAACACCACGAUCAAAAGUAUCCGCAACCGAAGAUGUAGUUAAAUCUAUCGAUGAUGCUGUCAAAUACCUCAUCUCGCUGAUUGGGAACCGGAGUCACCAUAUACGCCAACAUGAAAACCAGGUCAGCUAUGCAUAUAGAGAAUCUCACCCAGAUAGACUGAAAAAACCGUUGGUCAAUGAGGCUCUCUUUUCUCAGCUGUAUUAUCUCUUUGCGGUGCCUAUUUUAGCGAACUCUUUUUCCAGCUCAAUAAGGUUGUGUUUUCACAACUUUGCUGCAUGUACACCGUAUACUGUCCCCCGAACACCAAGCCUUCCAAUCCCAAGAACAAAAGGAAAGAGAUAGCAGCCCAAAAAUAGACCAAGUUAUCUUUCCAGCAUUGUCUUUCCUACCAGGAUUCGAAAUCCUUCUUGGCAAGACGAGCUGAAUUAUCUCCCAUAGUCCGAAACUCACAAGAACAUCAAAAAUCCGACGUGAAUGAAUUCAAUAAAGAACAGGUAUAGAUAAAAAAAAAUAAUCAAGUACGAAUAAAAUUGGUAGGGUCUCAGACAAUAUAUUCACAUAUGAGAACGUACAUGACACAUAUCACUGUGGACAUUGUCUAUGGCCUUAUUACAAGCAACAAGAGAAAUUACAUAGGCGUGUGAGUGCGCGUGCGCGCGCACACACACGUGCACACAUGCAUGACAUACAUGGAUUGACUAGAGGUCGCCCCAUAUAGUCAACAAUUUAUUGGAGGUAAACAUUAGCAUAACUUGGCCAUAGAUCGAAGCAAUCCAACAUAUGCCGAUGAAUGGCAUCCAUGUUGGUAGCAAUGCAAGCAUAUCGUUUUAGUACAGUCCUUCCAUCUUCGAAGCCACUCCCAUUUCAUCCAUCUUAGCAACCACUGUGAAAUCAAGAUAUCGAACUCCCAUUAGCGCAUGAGUUAAUUUUGCCAGGGCAGGAGAGUAUAAGAGGUCUUUGUGUAGGAAGUAACAUGCUUGAAGUUGUGAGAUGGGACAUGAAGUCAACGAAGUACAUUAAUGAAAAUCGGUGGAAGGUCACAGAUAUGUAUUAGUCCACCAUACGACACAGAUCUUGUAUUUACAAAUAUCAAAGGCAUUGAUUAAAGUGAGUUUAGUGCAUUUACCAGAAUCUUCAAGAAUACAGGGGAAACAACAAGUGUUCUUGCAGGCAAAGUCAGAGCCACCCGCAAAAAUACAAGUAGAACAACAUCCUUUUGCGGCUAAGCUUAUGCAGCAGCCGCAGUCUGCGGUGGUCGAGUUUACGGUGAGGCUCAGGAUGAGCAGGCACAUGAUCACCUUCAAAGUGGUAGUGCUAGUGAGCAUCCUCUUACCCUCCCAUUUCUCUUGUUGAUGUUGCCUGCCUUGGUUACCUAGCUAAGUUUCUUGGUUUUGUGUUGAGAGGUGCUUCUUAAAUGGAUGUUGCUUGCUGCAAUUUAUAGGCAAUUGCAUUACGUUAUGAUAUGUAUAAGGUGCGAGUGGGUGGAAAAUCAUGUCGUAUUCAAUGUGACAGUAUCGACAAUUGAUGACAUUGGUUGGUAACCCGGACAAAUUCAUUCACACGUAUCUUGCGGAGGAAAUGUUGCAUCACCUACCAUAUUCAAUAUUAGGGAGAAAGCCUGAACUACACCAAUAGUGUGCAACGAGGCACAAAAAGCUACCACAAGUAGUGGAGUUCGUAUGAUAUUAGCAAGCUAUAAACAAUAACCAUGGAGGCAAUUAACACUAGCCCGUCAAAGAUGGUGCUAGCAACUUAUGGUGUUCAAUGCAACACCAGAGCAAAUAUGUAUGGACUUUGGUUAGUAAAAUUUCAACAGGCGCUACAUAUAUAUUUUUCUAUACAAAAUUGAUUGGAAGCAAUAGAGUAGGCUAGUUCCUAGGUAGACCUUUAGCAAUGUUCAUUUUGGCCAUGGUGUCGGAGAUCAGAUUAUAAGUAUGACGUACAUGCAACUUGAUCCCUUGUCCUCAUAUUUUAAUUCCCGCAUUCACAAGUUGCACGUACUAAGCACUCCCAAUUAUUACCCUUUUCAUUAUGCAACUACUUUUAGAAUUUAUUUAUUUUUAAUAUACAAAUGUCAUUUAACAAACAAUCUAUUUUAUUCAGCUAGCGGAGGUCGGGCAAAACCGUUUUUUAUCCAAGUCUAGAAAACCUUGUAUAUUGUUCGGGCAUACAUUUUGCAUUUCUAAGAUAGAACCCCAAGAUAUUAGGCAUUGUGUCAGUUGUAUCAAACUUAUUUCUAUAUGACAUCAAAAUGUUAGAGAUAUUGAUAUGAUGCAAUGCACCGGGAUUAUCCUUAAAAACGAAAAACAAUUAAAAGGAGGAAAACUUGUGCAAAUAGUCCUUACGUGAUAUGGUCCUCAUCAAAAUUACCAAAUUUGGAAUAUGGUGCUUCGAAAAAAGAGUGUUCUCAAAAAGAGGUAUCAUGCCUGGCUUAUCUUGGCUUUCAACCCAAAUGGACAAGGCGAUGGCCAUAUCCAUGGCAAACAUUGUUUUUCGUUUUCCCAUAUUCAGCACACACAUGCAUCUUGGAACACAAAUCCAACCAACAACCAAUGAUCGUUUCAUUUCUUAGAGGUGCGGGCGAGGACAAUUAAAAACUUGUGAAACAGGUGUACCCGAGGCUUAAUUCACUAUUCGAGUAUACAGAUUGGGUCACUCUGUGUCGAAAUCACAACAAGAAAAUGUUUGGUUGAACAUCCUCUGUUAGAUAAGACUACAAGAUGAUGGUACUUUUGGGUCCUUCACAAAACAAGAAACUAACCAAGAGAUUAGGAUGACUGAUCUGUCCCAUGUAUGUCCUGCAAAUUAGUUGUUGAUAACGUUGCCAUUAUUUAGGAAAAGGCUCCUCACCUGAAUAUAUAUAUGCCACAAACCUUUAUUUAGGAAAAGGCUCCUCACCUGAAUAUAUUUCAAAUGUUUGACAGUUUUACAGGAUCACGCAUAUGCGCGCUCCUUGGGUGCCCCAGAUUUUAGCCUAUGUAUCCAUAUGUAAGGUAAGAUCAGUGCCAAUGUUUUCGAUGGUGUCAAGGGGAGGAUCAUCUACAAGUUAGAACAUCUUGUUCAUGGCACCCCAUAUUAUCCAUACUACAUGUAGAAGAAUUAAGCAUGGGAUAAAUAUAGCCAGAGGGCAUUGCGGUUGAGAAGAGAUCACCAAUUUGGAUGGAGAGUGCGUGCCAUAUCCUUCAAGCAGCAUGACAGGUGAAGAAGAGGUGAUGUCUAUCAUGGGCAGAUGGAGCUGGUGAGGAUUCUUUAUUUUUUGUAGAUUGCAUCUUGUGUUCACUCUGUCCAGGUAGAAGAGCCAGACGAAGAUCUGUAAUCUCUUUCAAGGUGCGGUCCUAUGGAUCCGAAAGCUGGGGUGAUAGGGCAGCAUAUGCCCCCUCUUGAUGAAAGCUGACCCAUUAAGCAACCCUCGCUCGUCAGGAUCCUACAACAGAGAGUUUAAUGAGCCAAGCUCUGGCGAGGCAGUUGAGGUUAGUCGGUUACGCAAGGAAAGUUCGACCUGCAUGAUGGCAUCUUUGGUGGGAUCGGUGAGAGAAAAUGGUAGGGAAAACAUUGGCUAAUGGUUCAGGGUUGAUCCACUUGUCAAGCCAAAACAAACAAUCUCAAACAGUGGCUAAUGGUUCAGGUCUCCCAAAAAGAAUCUUUAGUUUGUUAGAUAAUAUUAUUUGCAUGGUUGUUUCCUAGUGUAUCAUAUAUGGACUCUUGGGCCGAUAGGAUCUUCUUUGUAAACGUAUGUACUUCAAAACAUGAGGAAACCAUAUCUCGUUUAGUCCUAGCCGUAAAAUUAAGAUCUGAUGGUUAUUUAUCAGCACUUGUCAAGGAUUAACGUGGAGGCUCGUAUGGUGCCUCCAAUUAAUAAAUAUAUGAUUUUGACAUGGGCUUCUUAUAUAUUUCGCUAUAAAAAUUGAUUGGAACAAAUACGUACGCCUAGUUCGCUAGGAUAGGCCUUUAGCAAGGUUUAUCAUCUCCACUGUGUUGAAGAUUAGAUGAUAAGUAUGAACUAAAUGCAACUUGAUCCCAAGUCUUCAUAUUCCAAUCCCCAAAUUUACAACUUGCUCGUACUAUGCACAUCCUAUUAGUAACUUUUUUUGCUAGGAACACUUUUUAUAAUUUAUUUGUUUGUGAAUACACAAAUGUCAUUUUAACAGACUAUCUAUUUUUAUUCAGCUAGCAGAGGUUGGGCACAAUCAAUUUUUAUCCAAGACUAAAAAACCAUGUACAUUUUCGGGGGGCAUACAUCUUGUGUUUCUAAGAGACAACACUAAGAUAUUAUGCAUUGUGCCUCUUGUAUCAAACUUGUUUUUGUAUGUCAUAGAAAUAAUAGAGAUAGUGAUAUGAUUCACUGCACAUGGAUUAUCCUAAAAUAGAGAAACAAUUUAAAAACGGGAAACUUGCACAAAGAGUCCUUUUACGUGAUAUGGUUUCCAUAAAAAAUACCAAAAUUGAAAUAUGAUGCUUUGAAAAAAAAGGUGUUCUCGGAAAGAGGUAUCUUGUAUGCUUAUCUUGGCUUUCAACCCAAAAUACCAAGGCGAUAGUCAUAUCCAUGGGAAACAUGGUGGUAUUUUGCCCAUAUUCGGCACACAUGUGCAUCUUGGCAUGGCUUUACAAUGACACCUUAUUCACGUUGAUAAGAGCCUGUAUGCAAUAGCUACGGCUCUCCUAAAACAUUGUCGACCGAUGAAAUCUCUGGACCAAAAGUUGGGCAGAAAACGCCAGACCAGUGAAUGGGGUGCCAAAACAUGGAAAAGGGCGGGGAAUUGCCAAAAUUCUACCGUUGGUUGUAGCCUCACUGAAACCGACAUGUAAUUUGACCGUCGAAUAUUCAGACAACCUGGAACCCUAGCAUGCUACCAGGGCACCGACAUAAUGCAUGUAUUCUGUGCAUGCGAUACUGGCGCCCCCGCGACCAGAGGAAGGAAUAAACACCUAGACGGUACGCUAGUGCCUAAAUUUGGGCGGGAGAACACCAGAGUGGUGAGUUGGCCACCAAAAGAUGAAAAAGGGCUAGUCUUUGGCAGGUAUAAACAAGGGGGGAGGGGGGCUGGUAUUUCGGGUGCCAGAUCUUGUGAAGGUAAACAAGGAGAGAGACAUAAGAUGGAUACAAGCUGCUCCUCUGCCUUUGUUUGACUUGACUCAGCUGAAACAUAAUGUCGUUUCCAAAGAAACUUCAAUUACUGUUGAGAAGAGACAAAACCAAAUACUGCCAUUACACAAUAUAUAUCCGUCGUAAGAUAUUGAUUAAGCUAACCAAGCUGGACAUUGCCUACAGUACACCUAGAUAACUUAAUUUAUGCUAGCGACCGUGACGGCGAUCACCAAUUGAUUGUAUUUAGUGACUAAUAACCUGCCAUUGGUAUAUUUCAAAUUUUAUAUAUCAUUUGAUCCUCACCAUCGUCGGACAUGAUCGAGUCACAGAGAUAGGUACAAGUAGUUGUUCUGAGAAUAAGAAGAAAAAAUCGAUGCACUGACAAUCUCCAAUGUGUGUCCAUCUCAACCAUUUUAAAUUAAUUAGUACAAGUCCAAAUUAUCUGCUCUCCGGUAGAAACUAAAUUAGUCACGUUUGUUACGCUAGAGUUUGGUGCCAACGAACAAACCUAGCAAAUCAAUUGCACGUGGUCUCCUUAAACUACAAACAACGACAAUGAUGGAGGAGCCACUAAAUAGAAGGCCGGGCAGCGAUAGAAUGUACUUACUCAAUGGUUGCUAAUUUUUGUUGGUAAAUUGCGAGCGUUCUCCAGGGACGAACUCAAGAAGCAGUUUUUCUUGAUGAACGGACAAUAAGCUCCACCAUGCAAAAAUAUAAGGUUUCAGUUUGAGGAUCCAGCAAUAGUUCAUCAUGGAGCCUGAUGCACCAAGGUCAUAAUGCUGGUCUGGUGUGCAAAAUCCAAAGUAUGCAUCAGUUCUGCUCUCACACAUUGCGGAUCGUUCGAAUAUGCCAUCCAGAUCUUGUCUGUCCUGGAUAUACUUUUUGCUCGGAAUUAUAAAACUGUUCCUUUAUAAACUACUUACAGAAGCAUGAUUGUGGCUGUUGAACAUUUACUUUCCUUGAGUCGAAAAGACGCGCUAAUUUAGGGAAGCAGCAUGUGGGCACUGGAUAUCAUGUGCAUGCAUGUUCUUAACCCCCAAGCCACUCAGAUUAUUUGGCCCCAGAGCAAACCGCUUGGUUUGACCAGAAAAAAGACCUUCUACCCUUAUCCAUAGCAUAUGAAUGGAGAAGCAGAGCAUGAGCAGUGGGCAAACUAUCUAUCCUCUGAGAUGGACCAAGGAUAGAUAGUCGUUAGUGGCUCUAUAAAGAGGCCGGAUUCUGUCACACACAUAAGGGCUAAUUUGGCAGCAAGGUAAACGAAACCAGGGUAGCAAACCUUCGGGAGAUUAUACGCUAUUACUCACCUUCGGGAGAUUAUACGUUUCAAUCACUAUAUAUAUGACGUGCAAAAUGCAGCACACAUCCAUCACCAUCAGUUGAACUCGUGUCACACAAACUCCAUAGUCCAUACUUCUCUAGGUGUCAUCUCACUAUGCUGGAUACCUCUCCAAGUCUAUAUGUGAUGGACGGACGAACCAAGGCUCACUGGGCUUAAACACCUCCGGAAUGACAACCUCUACUACAACUCAACUCUGGAUUUUCGUACCUGUGCGUUUCACCAAACCAGUUGAUUAUAACCCCACUCUGCUCUUCUCUUCUCCAUGUAGAGUAGACCAGAGUAGGGACAACGAACACAUCAAUUACCAUCACAUACUAAAGUAUAUUCUAACAGCUGCUACAACUGAAUCAAUUAAUCAUGCCAAACACCCGUGCAUACCCACUCACUGCCAUUAUGUCCCGAAAUUGUCCAGCCUAGAACACACAAAUAAAAUAGAAUAGUCUCUAGUCUCCAUGCACUUUCACUGUUUGAUUGAUCACAAAAACUUACCUCAACAGUAAGAAAAUACACAAAUUUUGUUUUUCUCUGAUAUAUGAGAUCACAGAUUUUAGCCUUUUGGUGGUUCUAUUGACAUCAAUUGCAUGUACUAUAUUCACGGAUGCAAUUUUCUAACAAACCUUGCUAGCUAAUCUCCCUCGCACCUGCUCACAUCAAGAUUUAAACUGGAUGAGAUAAUGUAUAUGACUAUGUGUGACAUCAAGUUUAAGCGUUUAUGGUUCACGUUUUACAUCAAGUAUAUCGUAGUGUAGAGUAGCAAACUUAAUUCUCGAAAUCACCCAUACCAACGAAUGAAUGAAGAACCAAAGAGAUAAUUACAUCAGAGCUAGUCACUCCAUAGGCAAUAUCAGCAUAUUGUUAAUUGUUAAUGUGUAUAUCGAUCAAGUUUGUUUCUUUUCAAGUAAUCUAACACAUUCACCAAGGGAUUAAAUUGUAACUGAAUAGUACCAUUAGAAGUACAAAUAAGUUAACUAUUUGACAUUUGAUUUUCCACUAUUACUAAUUUUAUUUUUUAUUUUUUAUAUUCAAAUCUUCCGAGGUUUGUGUACAUUUUGUGUUGUUUAAGCCUGUCGGUCGACUGUAGAGUAGCCGCGCACCUCGUUCUUAUCCAUCUAAUCACAUGCACUAUGGUCUUCGCGUGGCAUUAAUUAAUUCCAUUGAUCAGUGAUAUAUUAUGUAGCUUGCUAGUUAAUAAUUAAUUAAUUAGCAGUUGAUGCAACUGCUCCAUUAUUAACAAUAAAAAGGCAUCCUCGUUUAGCUCGCAGGUCUUGUAUGAAUGCAUAAUCAUUUGCAUAAUAAUUAGGUAAGGCCGCUAGUUGGUGAGAAAUGCAUUGUACUUUCCUUGAGAUUAUCUGUCGACACCAAGCUGGUCAAUGGCGUGCAAUUUGAGAGCACUACCCUAUUCUCUGGGUUGUUAUAAAAAAAUUAAGGCAAAGGGACUGUGUACCCGUUGUAUCGAAUUGACAUGUACCUAGGAUAAAACUAAAUUAAUUUAUUCAUAAUCUAGUACAACAAAGGUGAAAUAAUUUAAAAAUCACUCCCUAAAAAAAGUAUAAGAAUGUGGCAAUCGCUCCCUAAAAACGGAAUGUAACAAUCACUCGUGGAAGGGGAAACGGCAAGACACCGCAAUGUCACUCGAACACUUUGACGUGUAGUACUGGGUAUGGGAAGAUUAUGUUGGGAUAAGAUAGUGGAUUGCCGGAGCCGGAGACCUCACCGGAGAGUUGGAAUUCCCCAUGUGGAUCCUGCUGUUGGCGAAAAAGCUGGUAAAGUGAAUGAGAGGAUGGUGGCGAACGGACACUGCACAUUCACCGGAUCUGGGCAAGGAAAGGGCACAAAUGAACAACACCUUCUUUUUCUAUUUUUUAAACGCCAAAAAGGUGCAGGUGUGUUAUGAAUCAAACUAGUGACCUCCUGCUUCAACGUAAGCUGCAGUAACCACUUACUUUUUUUCUUCAUAUUUUCUUCUUUCUACUUUUCUUUUUUCUUGUUUCUGGUUCGUUGAGGUUUUUUCCAAUUUUGUGAACUAUUUUUUUCAAAAUCAAUGAACUUUUUUCAAUUUGUAUACUUUUUUUCUGAAAUUGACAAAAAAUUGUAAUCAAUUGGUUUACUUUUUUUUUCCAAAUUUUGUGAUACUUAAGAAAAGUCAACUAGUCAGUCAGUGAACCGAUCAACUGGCACCAGUCAACCAGUGAGAGAUCUGAAGCGUAGGGAACACUCAACCCGGUUGCAUUUUGCUGCGCUGCAGCGAGAUGACAUUUUCAGCCGCAACCCAUGAAUGAAGGUAGUGAGCGCCAGGGAUUCUUUUCGCUGCUUGAAGCGCCGAAUAGGAGCUCCCAUGAGUUAGAUAGCUUUUGGAUGCAAAUUCAGUUUGCAGAUCAACGAGGCCACAAGCUUUCCGGUUGUUUUUUCCUUAAUCCAGUUCCAUCUAUGUAAAACUGCGAACGAUGGAUCAUCCAUCUCGAACGGAUCAACAUGGACAUGGUCAGCUCGAUCGUUACGCCAAAUGAAUACAAAUUAUGCACACACAAUCCGACGCGGCGAGUGAGAGCGACUUUGUUGAGAGGACCAAACUACCAUUAUUUUAUCUCAUUCUUCGUAUGAUAUUAAAACCGGCUAUUAGCUGUUUGUCUCUUGUAGACAUAUUUAAUCAGCUAUGUCAUACAAUACAAAUUAGGUGUUCCAUCACCUUCACAUUCAACUGCGGGUAUUCUGUUCUCGCAGAUGACUGGCUCUUUCAUAAAGAAUGUUUAAGGAAGUCUUAAUGACUGGGAAAGCCCUCCAGAUAGAAUGGUUGAAGUACUCUUGAACUGCACUGUAUGUAUUGCUUCUAGCUUUGGAUGAGCUUAAUCUCAUUUACGAGUAUUAAUCUACUUCAUAUGCAAGUUUGUAUCCAAGCUAGUUGUGUACGUAUAUUAGGAGUCCAAGUGUUUGGCCGAGCUUAGCACUAGUCCGACUAGGAUAAGUAUGAUGGUUGAUCAUGUACACGUGGUUUUUUGAGUUUGGGUUCCAAGGUGUGUCCUAAUGCUAGUAGUAAUAGGAAGUACGAGGUACGAGUAGGAUUAGUUGGUCUAUAGGUUGGCCACAUUGUGUGUGUGUGUGUGUGUGUGUGUGUGUGCGUGUGUGUGUGUGUGUACAUACUAGCAAAAUAGAUUGUGCGUUGCAACGAGAGAGAAAAUAACACACACUCUUAACCUAGUAACCAUGAAUCAAGAUUCUAAUAGGUCCACGCCCUUUAUUUUCAAAUGGAAUCACAUUUUUGUUGCCGACGGUGGUCUCAGUGCUCAGAAAACGAAAUCGCGUUUGAAUGUGGUCAGUCCUAGGCCUCUCUCUCCCUCUCUCUCUCUCUCUCUCUCUCUCUCUCUCUCUCUCUCUCUCACGCGCGGGCACGCGCACUCACUCGGAAUAAUAUGAGAAAUAUGUUGUUUUCAGCGGUGUGCAUGCAUGGUUAUCGAUGUUUUCUUUCCUCUCAAUCUGGUUUUAAUGGGUGUUUAUUUGAAAUUCGAAUCGCCGCCAGUACCAAAGAAAAAGGACCAUGCACAAUAAACUAAGUUUGCACCAAAAAUAAUAUUUAAGAAAUAUUUAACAGCUAAAAAUUACAUAAUGUUUAGAUUCUACACAUUUUUUAAUCAAAUUUCAUAUAUAACAUGUUAAAAUUAGAGUUACGGUUUAAAAAAUAUGAAUAAUUUUGUCUUAGAUAAACUAUGGAUUGAUUAACCGAAAAGUCAGGGGUUUUCUGUUAAAACAAAAAAAAGAUCCAGCUGACUUAAAUAUGGAUGACGGGUUGAUUACCUGAAAUGUCAGGGUUUUAUUGAGAAAUUCAAAAACACGGUUUGGCUAUGACUUAAACGUGUACUGCGGGUUAAUUUACACAAAACACAGGGAUUUUUUUUAAAUGGCAUGACGUUGAGCAGUCACAAGCACUCUGUGCUUUAUUAUUAGGUGUAGAUAUAGACGCGAGGAUAUAUCAAGAUUGUACCGUGAAGAAAAGGAGAAAAGAAUAAAGAAGAGGAAGAAAGAGUACGACAAGGCCCCUUGGAUACAAGGUUUGUGUGUGUUUGUGUGUGCGUGUGCGUGUGUGUGUGUGUAUGUGUGUGUGUGUGUGUGUGUGUGUGUGUGUGUGUGUGUGUGUUCAUCAUGUUAUAGGUGGUGAAACACACUAAUGAGCAAGGUAAAACUCACAUCGAUCAAGGUCAGUGGCAUUUGUUCAAGUUUGUAAGGUGACUGUAGGACGCCUAGUUACGUCUGUGAACAAAAAGAGUCAGUACCGGCAAGGUCAGUGGCCAUAGUAGUAGCAGUUGUAGGAUCAACAUUUAGGAGUAUCAAGGUAGACACGAAGAAUGGAUAACUAUCCCAGUUGCACCUACAAACUGAUCCAGAAUUGUUUCCAAGUUUUUUGCAGCAAGUGGAGUAGCCUUGACAGCGACCAAGGUGGCAUUGACAUAUUAUGGUGUCGGUCAUAGGAGAUCUGGUUAUAGUGGUUGAGAAUAAAAUGUUCCGUUUGCCUUUGAUUAAUUAUGCGUUGUCUGUAAUUUGGUAUUCAUGAAAGUCACUAUCACGAUUAAUUGACCAUGUUCUAGAUCUCUACAUCAAAUUUAUUCCUGUUAACCUCAAUGUUAUAGCUACAUCGAGAUACUUAUUUUUCAUAUGCGAGUAAUUGGUUGAGCUCUCCCAGCAGGACGAAGCAGCAAAGGGAGCAAACUGUAUACCAAACUGUGGAUGAAUGCCACAAUGGGGUAACUCGGAAAGUUUAACUCAUGCUCUAUGUCUUGCCCAAGGACAACAUACUCCGCGUGCAACUUUUUGUGUAUAUACCAGACGAUGCACCAUAAAGUAAUUUUUUUUACAAAUGGUAACAUAUUAGUAUCAAGAUGAUACAAAUUGCCAUUACAAAUAUACAAUAAACCAUUGUAGACCUCAUCGGUGUGAAAAAUUAAUUGGACGAACUAAAGUUUUGCAAUGAGAUGCUGAUGGUAGGCAUAAACAUGGACUUGGAGCUCGACUUGGAGUUGUCGUACUACUAGUAACUUUCUAGAUUGCAUGGAAAACUAUGAAUCCAAACAAGAUAACAGAUACAGUGAUGUAUUAUAUAUGAGCACACAGAGAAGAAAAAUAGAAACUUUAAACAUGGCUUCCAACGGGUUCUUCUGGUGUGUUAAGAGCCUUUAGAAGAUGAAACUGGGCUAGCUAUGGCCCUAGCCGUAAAGAACAUGGAAUUAGUGAUAUUACAACCGUGAAGGCUAACACGAAUAAGUUUCUAAGCGCCCCAACUGUGAUCAACACCACGAUCAAAAGUAUCCGCAACCGAAGAUGUAGUUAAAUCUAUUGAUGAUGCUGUCAAAUACCUCAUCUCGCUGAUUGGGAACCGGAGUCACCAUAUACGCCAACAUGAAAACCAGGUCAGCUAUGCAUAUAGAGAAUCUCACCCAGAUAGACUGAAAAAACCGUUGGUCAAUGACGCUCUCUUUUCUCAGCUGUAUUAUCUCUUUGCGGUGCCUAUUUUAGCGAACUCUUUUUCCAGCUCAAUAAGGUUGUGUUUUCACAAUUUUGCUGCAUGUACACUGUAUACUGUCCCCCGAACACCAAGCCUUCCAAUCCCAAGAACAAAAGGAAAGAGAUAGCAGCCCAAAAAUAGACCAAGUUAUCUUUCCAGCAUUGUCUUUCCUACCAGGAUUCGAAAUCCUUCUUGGCAAGACGAGCUGAAUUAUCUCCCAUAGUCCGAAACUCACAAGAACAUCAAAAAUCCGACGUGAAUGAAUUCAAUAAAGAACAGGUAUAGAUAAAAAAUAAUAAUCAAGUACGCAUAAAAUUGGUAGGUUCUCAGACAAUAUAUUGACAUAUGAGAACGUACAUGACACAUAUCACUGUGGACAUUGUCUAUGGCCUUAUUACAAGCAACAAGAGAAAUUACAUAGGCGUGUGAGUGCGCGUGCGCGCGCACACACACGUGCACACAUGCAUGACAUACAUGGAUUGACUAGAGGUCGCCCCAUAUAGUCAACAAUUUAUUGGAGGUAAACAUUAGCAUAACUUGGCCAUAGAUCGAAGCAAUCCAACAUAUGCCGAUGAAUGGCAUCCAUGUUGGUAGCAAUGCAAGCAUAUCGUUUUAGUACAGUCCUUCCAUCUUCGAAGCCACUCCCAUUUCAUCCAUCUUAGCAACCACUGUGAAAUUAAGAUAUAAAACUCCCAUUAGCUCAUGAGUUAAUUUUGCUAGGGCAGGAGAGUAUAAGAGGUCUUUGUGUAGGAAGUAACAUGCUUGAAGUUGUGAGAUGGGACAUGAAGUCAACGAAGUACAUUAAUGAAAAUCGGUGGAAGGUCACAGAGAUGUAUUAGUCCACCAUACGACACAGAUCUUGUAUUUACAAAUAUCAAAGGCAUUGAUUAAAGUGAGUUUAGUGCAUUUACCAGAAUCUUCAAGAAUACAGGGAAACAACAAGUGUUCUUGCAGGCAAAGUCAGAGCCACCCGCAAAAAUACAAGUAGAACAACAUCCUUUUGCGGCUAAGCUUAUGCAGCAGCCACAGUCUGCGGUGGUCGAGUUUACGGUGAGGCUCAGGAUGAGCAGGCACAUGAUCACCUUCAAAGUGGUAGUGCUAGUGACCAUCCUCUUACCCUCCAUUUUCUCUUGUUGAUGUUGCCUGCCUUGGUUACCUAGAUAAGUUUCUUGGUUUUGUGUUGAGAGGUGCUUCUUAAAUGGAUGUUGCUUGCUGCAAUUUAUAGGCAAUUGCAUUACGUUAUGAUAUGUAUAAGGUGCGAGUGGGUGGAAAAUCAUGUCGUAUUCAAUGUGACAGUAUCGACAAUUGAUGACAUUGGUUGGUAACCCGGACAAAUUCAUUCACACGUAUCUUGCGGAGGAAAUGUUGCAUCACCUACCAUAUUCAAUAUUAGGGAGAAAGCCUGAACUACACCAAUAGUGUGCAACUAGGCACAAAAAGCUACCACAAGUAGUGGAGUUCGUAUGAUAUUAGCAAGCUAUUAACAAUAACCAUGGAGGCAAUUAACACUAGCCCGUCAAAGAUGGUGCUAGCAACUUAUGGUGUUCAAUGCAACACCAGAGCAAAUAUGUAUGGACUUUGGUUAGUAAAAUUUCAACAGGCGCUACAUAUAUAUUUUGCUAUACAAAAUUGAUUGGAAGCAAUAGAGUAGGCUAGUUCCUAGGUAGACCUUUAGCAAUGUUCAUUUUGGCCAUGGUAUCGGAGAUCAGAUUAUAAGUAUGACGUACAUGCAACUUGAUCCCUUGUCCUCAUAUUUUAAUUCCCGCAUUCACAAGUUGCACGUACUAAGCACUCCCAAUUAUUACCCUUUUCAUUAUGCAACUAUUUUUAGAAUUUAUUUAUUUUUAAUAUACAAAUGUCAUUUAACAAACAAUCUAUUUUAUUCAGCUAGCGGAGGUCGGGCAAAACCGUUUUUUAUCCAAGUCUAGAAAACCUUGUAUAUUGUUCGGGCAUACAUUUUGCAUUUCUAAGAUAGAACCCCAAGAUAUUAGGCAUUGUGUCAGUUGUAUCAAACUUAUUUCUAUAUGACAUCAAAAUGUUAGAGAUAUUGAUAUGAUGCAAUGCACCGGGAUUAUCCUUAAAAACGAAAAACAAUUAAAAGGAGGAAAACUUGUGCAAAUAGUCCUUACGUGAUAUGGUCCUCAUCAAAAUUACCAAAUUUGGAAUAUGGUGCUUCGAAAAAAGAGUGUUCUCAAAAAGAGGUAUCAUGCCUGGCUUAUCUUGGCUUUCAACCCAAAUGGCCAAGCGAUGGCCAUAUCCAUGGCAAACAUUGUUUUUCGUUUUCCCAUAUUCGGCACACACAUGCAUCUUGGAACACAAAUCCAACCAACAACCAAUGAUCGUUUCAUUUCUUAGAGGUGCGGGCGAGGACAAUUAAAAACUUGUGAAACAGGUGUACCCGAGGCUUAAUUCACUAUUCGAGUAUACAGAUUGGGUCACUCUGUGUCGAAAUCACAACAAGAAAAUGUUUUGUUGAACAUCCUCUGUUAGAUAAGACUACAAGAUGAUGGUACUUUUGGGUCCUUCACAAAACAAGAAACUAACCAAGAGAUUAGGAUGACUGAUCUGUCCCAUGUAUGUCCUGCAAAUCAGUUGUUGAUAACGUUGCCAUUAUUUAGGAAAAGUCUCCUCACCUGAAUAUAUAUAUGCCACAAACCUUUAUUUAGGAAAAGGCUCCUCACCUCAAUAUAUUUCAAAUGUUUGACAAUUUUACAGGAUCAUGCAUAUGCGCGCUCCUUGGGUGCCCCAGAUUUUAGCCUAUGUAUCCAUAUGUAAGGUAAGAUCAGUGCCAAUGUUUUCGAUGGUGUCAAGGGGAGGAUCAUCUACAACUUAGAACAUCUUGUUCAUGGCACCCCAUAUUAUCCAUACUACAUGUAGAAGAAUUAAGCAUGGGAUAAAUAUAGCCAGAGGGCAUUGCGGUUGAGAAGAGAUCACCAAUUUGGAUGGAGAGUGCGUGCCAUAUCCUUCAAGCAGCAUGACAGGUGAAGAAGAGGUGAUGUCUAUCAUGGGCAGAUGGAGCUGGUGAGGAUUCUUUAUAUUUUGUAGAUUGCAUCUUGUGUUCACUCUGUCCAGGUAGAAGAGCCAGGCGAAGAUCUGUAUUCUCUUUCAAGGUGCGGUCCUAUGGAUCCGAAAGCUGGGGUGAUAGGGCAGCAUAUGCCCCCUCUUGAUGAAAGCUGACCCAUUAAGCAACCCUCGCUCGUCAGGAUCCUACAACAGAGAGUUUAACGAGCCAAGCUCUGGCGAGGCAGUUGAGGUUAGUCGGUUACGCAAGGAAAGUUCGACCUGCAUGAUGGCAUCUUUGGUGGGAUCGGUGAGAGAAAAUGGUAGGGAAAACAUUGGCUAAUGGUUCAGGGUUGAUCCACCUGUCAAGCCAAAACAAACAAUCUCAAACAGUGGCUAAUGGUUCAGGUCUCCCAAAAAGAAUCUUUAGUUUGUUAGAUAAUAUUAUUUGCAUGGUUGUUUCCUAGUGUAUCAUAUAUGGACUCUUGGGCCGAUAGGAUCUUCUUUGUAAACGUAUGUACUUCAAAACAUGAGGAAACCAUAUCUCGUUUAGUCCUAGCCGUAAAAUUAAGAUCUGAUGGUUAUUUAUCAGCACUUGUCAAGGAUUAACGUGGAGGCUCGUAUGGUGCCUCCAAUUAAUAAAUAUAUGAUUUUGAGAUGGGCUUCUUAUAUAUUUCGCUAUAAAAAUUGAUUGGAACAAAUACGUACGCCUAGUUUGCUAGGAUAGGCCUUUAGCAAGGUUUAUCAUCUCCACUGUGUUGAAGAUUAGAUGAUAAGUAUGAACUAAAUGCAACUUGAUCCCAAGUCUUCAUAUUCCAAUCCCCAAAUUUACAACUUGCUCGUACUAUGCACAUCCUAUUAGUAACUUUUUUUGCUAGGAACACUUUUUAUAAUUUAUUUGUUUGUGAAUACACAAAUGUCAUUUUAACAGACUAUCUAUUUUUAUUCAGCUAGCAGAGGUUGGGCACAAUCAAUUUUUAUCCAAGACUAAAAAACCAUGUACAUUUUCGGGGGGCAUACAUCUUGUGUUUCUAAGAGACAACACUAAGAUAUUAUGCAUUGUGCCUCUUGUAUCAAACUUGUUUUUGUAUGUCAUAGAAAUAAUAGAGAUAGUGAUAUGAUUCACUGCACAUGGAUUAUCCUAAAAUAGAGAAACAAUUUAAAAACGGGAAACUUGCACAAAGAGUCCUUUUACGUGAUAUGGUUUCCAUAAAAAAUACCAAAAUUGAAAUAUGACGCUUUGAAAAAAAAGUGUUCUCGGAAAGAGGUAUCAUGUAUGCUUAUCUUGGCUUUCAACCCAAAAUACCAAGGCGAUAGUCAUAUCCAUGGGAAACAUGGUGGUAUUUUGCCCAUAUUCGGCACACAUGUGCAUCUUGGCAUGGCUUUACAAUGACACCUUAUUCACGUUGAUAAGAGCCUGUAUGCAAUAGCUACGACUCUCCUAAAACAUUGUCGACCGAUGAAAUCUCUGGACCAAAAGUUGGGCAGAAAACGCCAGACCAGUGAAUGGGGUGCCAAAACAUGGAAAAGGGCGGGGAAUUGCCAAAAUUCUACCGUUGGUUGUAGCCUCACUGAAACCGACAUGUAAUUUGACCGUCGAAUAUUCAGACAACCUGGAACCCUAGCAUGCUACCAGGGCACCGACAUAAUGCAUGUAUUCUGUGCAUGCGGUACUGGCGCCCCCGCGACCAGAGGAAGGAAUAAACACCUAGACGGUACGCUAGUGCCUAAAUUUGGGCGGGAGAACACCAGAGUGGUGAGUUGGCCACCAAAAGAUGAAAAAGGGCUAGUCUUUGGCAGGUAUAAACAAGGGGGGAGGGGGGCUGGUAUUUCGGGUGCCAGAUCUUGUGAAGGUAAACAAGGAGAGAGACAUAAGAUGGAUACAAGCUGCUCCUCUGCCUUUGUUUGACUUGACUCAGCUGAAACAUAAUGUCGUUUCCAAAGAAACUUCAAUUACUGUUGAGAAGAGACAAAACCAAAUACUGCCAUUACACAAUAUAUAUCCGUCGUAAGAUAUUGAUUAAGCUAACCAAGCUGGACAUUGCCUACAGUACACCUAGAUAACUUAAUUUAUGCUAGCGACCGUGACGGCGAUCACCAAUUGAUUGUAUUUAGUGACUAAUAACCUGCCAUUGGUAUAUUUCAAAUUUUAUAUAUCAUUUGAUCCUCACCAUCGUCGGACAUGAUCGAGUCACAUAGAUAGGUACAAGUAGCUGUUCUGAGAAUAAGAAGAAAAAAUCGAUGCACUGACAAUCUCCAAUGUGUGUCCAUCUCAACCAUUUUAAAUUAAUUAGUACAAGUCCAAAUUAUCUGCUCUCCGGUAGAAACUAAAUUAGUCACGUUUGUUACGCUAGAGUUUGGUGCCAACGAACAAACCUAGCAAAUCAAUUGCACGUGGUCUCCUUAAACUACAAACAACGACAAUGAUGGAGGAGCCACUAAAUAGAAGGCCGGGCAGCGAUAGAAUGUACUUACUCAAUGGUUGCUAAUUUUUGUUGGUAAAUUGCGAGCGUUCUCCAGGGACGAACUCAAGAAGCAGUUUUUCUUGAUGAACGGACAAUAAGCUCCACCAUGCAAAAAUAUAAGGUUUCAGUUUGAGGAUCCAACAAUAGUUCAUCAUGGAGCCUGAUGCACCAAGGUCAUAAUGCUGGUCUGGUGUGCAAAAUCCAAAGUAUGCAUCAGUUCUGCUCUCACACAUUGCGGAUCGUUCGAAUAUGCCAUCCAGAUCUUGUCUGUCCUGGAUAUACUUUUUGCUCGGAAUUAUAAAACUGUUCCUUUAUAAACUACUUACAGAAGCAUGAUUGUGGCUGUUGAACAUUUACUUUCCUUGAGUCGAAAAGACGCGCUAAUUUAGGGAAGCAGCAUGUGGGCACUGGAUAUCAUGUGCAUGCAUGUUCUUAACCCCCAAGCCACAUAGAUUAUUUGGCCCCAGAGCAAACCGCUUGGUUUGACCAGAAAAAAGACCUUCUACCCUUAUCCAUAGCAUAUGAAUGGAGAAGCAGAGCAUGAGCAGUGGGCAAACUAUCUAUCCUCUGAGAUGGACCAAGGAUAGAUAGUCGUUAGUGGCUCUAUAAAGAGGCCGGAUUCUGUCACACACAUAAGGGCUAAUUUUGCAGCAAGGUAAACGAAACCAGGGUAGCAAACCUUCGGGAGAUUAUACGCUAUUACUCACCUUCGGGAGAUUAUACGUUUCAAUCACUAUAUAUAUGACGUGCAAAAUGCAGCACACAUCCAUCACCAUCAGUUGAACCCGUGUCACACAAACUCCAAAGUCCAUACUUCUCUAGGUGUCAUCUCACUAUGCUGGAUACCUCUCCAAGUCUAUAUGUGAUGGACGGACGGACCAAGGCUCACUGGGCUUAAACACCUCCGGAAUGACAACCUCUACUACAACUCAACUCUGGAUUUUCGUACCUGUGCGUUUCACCAAACCAGUUGAUUAUCACCCCACUCUGCUCUUCUCUUCUCCAUGUAGAGUAGACCAGAGUAGGGACAACGAACACAUCAAUUACCAUCACAUACUAAAGUAUAUUCUAACAGCUGCUACAACUGAAUCAAUUAAUCAUGCCAAACACCCGUGCAUACCCACUCACUGCCAUUAUGUCCCGAAAUUGUCCAGCCUAGAACACACAAAUAAAAUAGAAUAGUCUCUAGUCUCCAUGCACUUUCACUGUUUGAUUGAUCACAAAAACUUACCUCAACAGUAAGAAAAUACACAAAUUUUGUUUUUCUCUGAUAUAUGAGAUCACAGAUUUUAGCCUUUUGGUGGUUCUAUUGACAUCAAUUGCAUGUACUAUAUUCACGGAUGCAAUUUUCUAACAAACCUUGCUAGCUAAUCUCCCUCGCACCUGCUCACAUCAAGAUUUAAACUGGAUGAGAUAAUGUAUAUGACUAUGUCUGACAUCAAGUUUAAGCGUUUAUGGUUCACGUUUUACAUCAAGUAUAUCGUAGUGUAGAGUAGCAAACUUAAUUCUCGAAAUCACCCAUACCAACGAAUGAAUGAAGAACCAAAGAGAUAAUUACAUCAGAGCUAGUCACUCCAUAGGCAAUAUCAGCAUAUUGUUAAUUGUUAAUGUGUAUAUCGAUCAAGUUUGUUUCUUUUCAAGUAAUCUAACACAUUCACCAAGGGAUUAAAUUGUAACUGAAUAGUACCAUUAGAAGUACAAAUAAGUUAACUAUUUGACAUUUGAUUUUCCACUAUUACUAAUUUUAUUUUUUAUUUUUUAUAUUCAAAUCUUCCGAGGUUUGUGUACAUUUUGUGUUGUUUAAGCCUGUCGGUCGACUGUAGAGUAGCCGCGCACCUCAUUCUUAUCCAUCUAAUCACAUGCACUAUGGUCUUCGCGUGGCAUUAAUUAAUUCCAUUGAUCAGUGAUAUAUUAUGUAGCUUGCUAGUUAAUAAUUAAUUAAUUAGCAGUUGAUGCAACUGCUCCAUUAUUAACAAUAAAAAGGCAUCCUCGUUUAGCUCGCAGGUCUUGUAUGAAUGCAUAAUCAUUUGCAUAAUAAUUAGGUAAGGCCGCUAGUUGGUGAGAAAUGCAUUGUACUUUCCUUGAGAUUAUCUGUCGACACCAAGCUGGUCAAUGGCGUGCAAUUUGAGAGCACUACCCUAUUCUCUGGGUUGUUAUAAAAAAAUUAAGGCAAAGGGACUCUGUACCCGUUGUAUCGAAUUGACAUGUACCUAGGAUAAAACUAAAUUAAUUGAUUCAUAAUCUAGUACAACAAAGGUGAAAUAAUUUAAAAAUCACUCCCUAAAAAAAGUAUAAGAAUGUGGCAAUCGCUCCCUAAAAACGGAAUGUAACAAUCACUCGUGGAAGGGGAAACGGCAAGACACCGCAAUGUCACUCGAACACUUUGACGUGUAGUACUGGGUAUGGGGAGAUUAUGUUGGGAUAAGAUAGUGGAUUGCCGGAGCCGGAGACCUCACCGGAGAGUUGGAAUUCCCCAUGUGGAUUCUGCUGUUGGCGAAAAAGCUGGUAAAGUGAAUGAGAGGACGGUGGCGAACGGACACUGCACAUUCACCGGAUCUGGGCAAGGAAAGGGCACAAAUGAACAACACCUUCUUUUUCUGUUUUUUAAACGCCAAAAAGGUGCAGGUGUGUUAUGAAUCAAACUAGUGACCUCCUGCUUCAACGUAAGCUGCAGUAACCACUUACUUUUUUUCUUCAUAUUUUCUUCUUUCUACUUUUCUUUUUUCUUGUUUCUGGUUCGUUGAGGUUUUUUCCAAUUUUGUGAACUAUUUUUUUCAAAAUCAAUGAACUUUUUUCAAUUUGUAUACUUUUUUUUUUCUGAAAUUGACAAAAAAUUGUAAUCAAUUGGUUUACUUUUUUUUCCAAAUUUUGUGAUACUUAAGAAAAGUCAACUAGUCAGUCAGUGAACCGAUCAACUGGCACCAGUCAACCAGUGAGAGAUCUGAAGCGUAGGGAACACUCAACCCGGUUGCAUUUUGCUGCGCUGCAGCGAGAUGACAUUUUCAGCCGCAACCCAUGAAUGAAGGUAGUGAGCGCCAGGGAUUCUUUUCGCUGCUUGAAGCGCCGAAUAGGAGCUCCCAUGAGUUAGAUAGCUUUUGGGUGCAAAUUCAGUUUGCAGAUCAACGAGGCCACAAGCUUUCCGGUUGUUUUUUCCUUAAUCCAGUUCCAUCUAUGUAAAACUGCGAACGACGGAUCAUCCAUCUUGAACGGAUCAACAUGCACAUGGUCAGCUCGAUCGUUACGCCAAAUGAAUACAAAUUAUGCACACACAAUCCGACGCGGCGAGUGAGAGCGACUUUGUUGAGAGGACCAAACUACCAUUAUUUUAUCUCAUUCUUCGUAUGAUAUUAAAACCGGCUAUUAGCUGUUUGUCUCUUGUAGACAUAUUUAAUCAGCUAUGUCAUACAAUACAAAUUAGGUGUUCCAUCACCUUCACAUUCAACUGCGGGUAUUCUGUUCUCGCAGAUGACUGGCUCUUUCAUAAAGAAUGUUUAAGGAAGUCUUAAUGACUGGGAAAGCCCUCCAGAUAGAAUGGUUGAAGUACUCUUGAACUGCACUGUAUGUAUUGCUUCUAGCUUUGGAUGAGCUUAAUAUCAUUUACGAGUAUUAAUCUAGUUCAUAUGGAAGUUUGUAUCCAAGCUAGUUGUGUACGUAUAUUAGGAGUCCAAGUGUUUGGCCGAGCUUAGCACUAGUCCGACUAGGAUAAGUAUGAUGGUUGAUCAUGUACACGUGGUUUUUUGAGUUUGGGUUCCAAGGUGUGUCCUAAUGCUAGUAGUAAUAGGAAGUACGAGGUACGAGUAGGAUUAGUUGGUCUAUAGGUUGGCCACAUUGUGUGUGUGUGUGUGUGUACAUACUAGCAAAAUAGAUUGUGCGUUGCAACGAGAGAGAAAAUAACACACACUCUUAACCUAGUAACCAUGAAUCAAGAUUCUAAUAGGUCCACGCCCUUUAUUUUCAAAUGGAAUCACAUUUUUGUUGCCGACGGUGGUCUCAGUGCUCAGAAAACGAAAUCGCGUUUGAAUGUGGUCAGUCCUAGGCCUCUCUCUCUCUCUCUCUCUCUCUCUCUCUCUCUCUCUCUCUCUCUCUCUCUCUCUCUCUCUCUCUCUCUCACGCGCGGGCACGCGCACUCACUCGGAAUAAUAUGAGAAAUAUGUUGUUUUCAGCGGUGUGCAUGCAUGGUUAUCGAUGUUUUCUUUCCUCUCAAUCUGGUUUUAAUGGGUGUUUAUUUGAAAUUCGAAUCGCCGCCAGUACCAAAGAAAAAGGACCAUGCACAAUAAACUAAGUUUGCACCAAAAAUAAUAUUUAAGAAAUAUUUAACAGCUAAAAAUAACAUAAUGUUUAGAUUCUACACAUUUUUUAAUCAAAUUUCAUAUAUAACAUGUUAAAAUUAGAGUUACGGUUUAAAAAUAUGAAUAAUUUUGUCUUAGAUAAACUAUGGAUUGAUUAACCGAAAAGUCAGGGGUUUUCUGUUAAAACAACAAAAAGAUCCAGCUGACUUAAAUAUGGAUGACGGGUUGAUUACCUGAAAUGUCAGGGUUUUAUUGAGAAAUUCAAAAACACGGUUUGGCUAUGACUUAAACGUGUACUGCGGGUUAAUUUACACAAAACACAGGGAUUUUUUUUAAAUGGCAUGACGUUGAGCAGUCACAAGCACUCUGUGCUUUAUUAUUAGGUGUAGAUAUAGACGCGAGGAUAUAUCAAGAUUGUACCGUGAAGAAAAGGAGAAAAGAAUAAAGAAGAGGAAGAAAGAGUACGACAAGGCCCCUUGGAUACAAGGUUUGUGUGUGUUUGUGUGUGCGUGUGUGUGUGCGCGCGCGCGCGCGCGCGCGCGCGCGUGUGUGUGUGUGUGUGUGUGUGUGUGUGUUCAUCAUGUUAUAGGUGGUGAAACACACUAAUGAGCAAGGUAAAACUCACAUCGAUCAAGGUCAGUGGCAUUUGUUCAAGUUUGUAAGGUGACUGUAGGACGCCUAGUUACGUCUGUGAACAAAAAGAGUCAGUACCGGCAAGGUCAGUGGCCAUAGUAGUAGCAGUUGUAGGAUCAACAUUUAGGAGUAUCAAGGUAGACACGAAGAAUGGAUAACUAUCCCAGUUGCACCUACAAACUGAUCCAGAAUUGUUUCCAAGUUUUUUGCAGCAAGUGGAGUAGCCUUGACAGCGACCAAGGUGGCAUUGACAUAUUAUGGUGUCGGUCAUAGGAGAUCUGGUUAUAGUGGUUGAGAAUAAAAUGUUCCGUUUGCCUUUGAUUAAUUAUGCGUUGUCUGUAAUUUGGUAUUCAUGAAAGUCACUAUCACGAUUAAUUGACCAUGUUCUAGAUCUCUACAUCAAAUUUAUUCCUGUUAUCCUCAAUGUUAUAGCUACAUCGAGAUACUUAUUUUUCAUAUGCGAGUAAUUGGUUGAGCUCUCCCAGCAGGACGAAGCAGCAAAGGGAGCAAAAUGUAUACCAAACUGUGGAUGAAUGCCACAAUGGGGUAACUCGGAAAGUUUAACUCAUGCUCUAUGUCUUGCCCAAGGACAACAUACUCCGCGUGCAACUUUUUGUGUAUAUACCAGACGAUGCGCCAUAAACUAAUUUUUGUUACAAAUGGUAACAUAUUAGUAUCAAGAUGACACAAAUUUCCAUUACAAAUAUACAAUAAACCAUUGUAGACCUCAUCGGUGUGAAAAAUUAAUUGGACGAACUAAAGUUUUGCAAUGAGAUGCUGAUGGUAGGCAUCAACAUGGACUUGGAGCUCGACUUGGAGUUGUCGUACUACUAGUAACUUUCUAGAUCGCAUGGAAAACUAUGAAUCCAAACAAGAUAACAGAUACAAUGAUGUAUUAUAUAUGAGCACAGAGAGAGAAAAAAAUAGAAACUUUAAACAUGGCUUCCAACGGGUUCUUCUGGUGUGUUAAGAGCCUUUAGAAGAUGAAACUGGGCUAGCUAUGGCCCUAGCCAUAAAGAACAUGGAAUUAGUGAUAUUACAACCGUGAAGGCUAACACGAAUAAGUUUCUAAGCGCCCCAACUGUGAUCAACACCACGAUCAAAAGUAUCCGCAACCGAAGAUGUAGUUAAAUCUAUCGAUGAUGCUGUCAAAUACCUCAUCUCGCUGAUUGGGAACCGGAGUCACCAUAUACGCCAACAUGAAAACCAGGUCAGCUAUGCAUAUAGAGAAUCUCACCCAGAUAGACUGAAAAAACCGUUGGUCAAUGAGGCUCUCUUUUCUCAGCUGUAUUAUCUCUUUGCGGUGCCUAUUUUAGCGAACUCUUUUUCCAGCUCAAUAAGGUUGUGUUUUCACAACUUUGCUGCAUGUACACCGUAUAUUGUCCCCCGAACACCAAGCCUUCCAAUCCCAAGAACAAAAGGAAAGAGAUAGCAGCCCAAAAAUAGACCAAGUUAUCUUUCCAGCAUUGUCUUUCCUACCAGGAUUCGAAAUCCUUCUUGGCAAGACGAGCUGAAUUAUCUCCCAUAGUCCGAAACUCACAAGAACAUCAAAAAUCCGACGUGAAUGAAUUCAAUAAAGAACAGGUAUAGAUAAAAAAUAAUAAUCAAGUACGAAUAAAAUUGGUAGGGUCUCAGACAAUAUAUUGACAUAUGAGAACGUACAUGACACAUAUCACUGUGGACAUUGUCUAUGGCCUUAUUACAAGCAACAAGAGAAAUUACAUAGGCGUGUGAGUGCGCGUGCGCGCGCACACACACGUGCACACAUGCAUGACAUACAUGGAUUGACUAGAGGUCGCCCCAUAUAGUCAACAAUUUAUUGGAGGUAAACAUUAGCAUAACUUGGCCAUAGAUCGAAGCAAUCCAACAUAUGCCGAUGAAUGGCAUCCAUGUUGGUAGCAAUGCAAGCAUAUCGUUUUAGUACAGUCCUUCCAUCUUCGAAGCCACUCCCAUUUCAUCCAUCUUAGCAACCACUGCGAAAUUAAGAUAUCGAACUCCCAUUAGCUCAUGAGUUAAUUUUGCCAGGGCAGGAGAGUAUAAGAGGUCUUUGUGUAGGAAGUAACAUGCUUGAACUUGUGAGAUGGGACAUGAAGUCAACGAAGUACAUUAAUGAAAAUCGGUGGAAGGUCACAGAUAUGUAUUAGUCCACCAUACGACACAGAUCUUGUAUUUACAAAUAUCAAAGGCAUUGAUUAAAGUGAGUUUAGUGCAUUUACCAGAAUCUUCAAGAAUACAGGGGAAACAACAAGUGUUCUUGCAGGCAAAGUCAGAGCCACCCGCAAAAAUACAAGUAGAACAACAUCCUUUUGCGGCUAAGCUUAUGCAGCAGCCGCAGUCUGCGGUGGUCGAGUUUACGGUGAGGCUCAGGAUGAGCAGGCACAUGAUCACCUUCAAAGUGGUAGUGCUAGUGAGCAUCCUCUUACCCUCCAUUUUCUCUUGUUGAUGUUGCCUGCCUUGGUUACCUAGCUAAGUUUCUUGGUUUUGUGUUGAGAGGUGCUUCUUAAAUGGAUGUUGCUUGCUGCAAUUUAUAGGCAAUUGCAUUACGUUAUGAUAUGUAUAAGGUGCGAGUGGGUGGAAAAUCCUGUCGUAUUCAAUGUGACAGUAUCGACAAUUGAUGACAUUGGUUGGUAACCCGGACAAAUUCAUUCACACGUAUCUUGCGGAGGAAAUGUUGCAUCACCUACCAUAUUCAAUAUUAGGGAGAAAGCCUGAACUACACCAAUAGUGUGCAACGAGGCACAAAAAGCUACCACAAGUAGUGGAGUUCGUAUGAUAUCAGCAAGCUAUAAACAAUAACCAUGGAGGCAAUUAACACUAGCCCGUCAAAGAUGGUGCUAGCAACUUAUGGUGUUCAAUGCAACACCAGAGCAAAUAUGUAUGGACUUUGGUUAGUAAAAUUUCAACAGGCGCUACAUAUAUAUUUUUCUAUACAAAAUUGAUUGGAAGCAAUAGAGUAGGCUAGUUCCUAGGUAGACCUUUAGCAAUGUUCAUUUUGGCCAUGGUGUCGGAGAUCAGAUUAUAAGUAUGACGUACAUGCAACUUGAUCCCUUGUCCUCAUAUUUUAAUUCCCGCAUUCACAAGUUGCACGUACUAAGCACUCCCAAUUAUUACCCUUUUCAUUAUGCAACUAUUUUUAGAAUUUAUUUAUUUUUAAUAUACAAAUGUCAUUUAACAAACAAUCUAUUUUAUUCAGCUAGCGGAGGUCGGGCAAAACCGUUUUUUAUCCAAGUCUAGAAAACCUUGUAUAUUGUUCGGGCAUACAUUUUGCUUUUCUAAGAUAGAACCCCAAGAUAUUAGGCAUUGUGUCAGUUGUAUCAAACUUAUUUCUAUAUGACAUCAAAAUGUUAGAGAUAUUGAUAUGAUGCAAUGCACCGGGAUUAUCCUUAAAAACGAAAAACAAUUAAAAGGAGGAAAACUUGUGCAAAUAGUCCUUACGUGAUAUGGUCCUCAUCAAAAUUACCAAAUUUGGAAUAUGGUGCUUCGAAAAAAGAGUGUUCUCAAAAAGAGGUAUCAUGCCUGGCUUAUCUUGGCUUUCAACCCAAAUGGCCAAGGCGAUGGCCAUAUCCAUGGCAAACAUUGUUUUUCGUUUUCCCAUAUUCAGCACACACAUGCAUCUUGGAACACAAAUCCAACCAACAACCAAUGAUCGUUUCAUUUCUUAGAGGUGCGGGCGAGGACAAUUAAAAACUUGUGAAACAGGUGUACCCGAGGCUUAAUUCACUAUUCGAGUAUACAGAUUGGGUCACUCUGUUUCGAAAUCACAACAAGAAAAUGUUUUGUUGAACAUCCUCUGUUAGAUAAGACUACAAGAUGAUGGUACUUUUGGGUCCUUCACAAAACAAGAAACUAACCAAGAGAUUAGGAUGACUGAUCUGUCCCAUGUAUGUCCUGCAAAUCAGUUGUUGAUAACGUUGCCAUUAUUUAGGAAAAGGCUCCUCACCUGAAUAUAUAUAUGCCACAAACCUUUAUUUAGGAAAAGGCUCCUCACCUGAAUAUAUUUCAAAUGUUUGACAGUUUUACAGGAUCACGCAUAUGCGCGCUCCUUGGGUGCCCCAGAUUUUAGCCUAUGUAUCCAUAUGUAAGGUAAGAUCAGUGCCAAUGUUUUCGAUGGUGUCAAGGGGAGGAUCAUCUACAAGUUAGAACAUCUUGUUCAUGGCACCCCAUAUUAUCCAUACUACAUGUAGAAGAAUUAAGCAUGGGAUAAAUAUAGCCAGAGGGCAUUGCGGUUGAGAAGAGAUCACCAAUUUGGAUGGAGAUUGCGUGCCAUAUCCUUCAAGCAGCAUGACAGGUGAAGAAGAGGUGAUGUCUAUCAUGGGCAGAUGGAGCUGGUGAGGAUUCUUUAUUUUUUGUAGAUUGCAUCUUGUGUUCACUCUGUCCAGGUAGAAGAGCUAGACGAAGAUCUGUAAUCUCUUUCAAGGUGCGGUCCUAUGGAUCCGAAAGCUGGGGUGAUAGGGCAGCAUAUGCCCCCUCUUGAUGAAAGCUGACCCAUUAAGCAACCCUCGCUCGUCAGGAUCCUACAACAGAGAGUUUAACGAGCCAAGCUCUGGCGAGGCAGUUGAGGUUAGUCGGUUACGCAAGGCAAGUUCGACCUGCAUGAUGGCAUCUUUGGUGGGAUCGGUGAGAGAAAAUGGUAGGGAAAACAUUGGCUAAUGGUUCAGGGUUGAUCCACCUGUCAAGCCAAAACAAACAAUCUCAAACAGUGGCUAAUGGUUCAGGUCUCCCAAAAAGAAUCUUUAGUUUGUUAGAUAAUAUUAUUUGCAUGGUUGUUUCCUAGUGUAUCAUAUAUGGACUCUUGGGCCGAUAGGAUCUUCUUUGUAAACGUAUGUACUUCAAAACAUGAGGAAACCAUAUCUCGUUUAGUCCUAGCCGUAAAAUUAAGAUCUGAUGGUUAUUUAUCAGCACUUGUCAAGGAUUAACGUGGAGGCUCGUAUGGUGCCUCCAAUUAAUAAAUAUAUGAUUUUGACAUGGGCUUCUUAUAUAUUUCGCUAUAAAAAUUGAUUGGAACAAAUACGUACGCCUAGUUCGCUAGGAUAGGCCUUUAGCAAGGUUUAUCAUCUCCACUGUGUUGAAGAUUAGAUGAUAAGUAUGAACUAAAUGCAACUUGAUCCCAAGUCUUCAUAUUCCAAUCCCCAAAUUUACAACUUGCUCGUACUAUGCACAUCCUAUUAGUAACUUUUUUUGCUAGGAACACUUUUUAUAAUUUAUUUGUUUGUGAAUACACAAAUGUCAUUUUAACAGACUAUCUAUUUUUAUUCAGCUAGCAGAGGUUGGGCACAAUCAAUUUUUAUCCAAGACUAAAAAACCAUGUACAUUUUCGGGGGGCAUACAUCUUGUGUUUCUAAGAGACAACACUAAGAUAUUACGCAUUGUGCCUCUUGUAUCAAACUUGUUUUUGUAUGUCAUAGAAAUAAUAGAGAUAGUGAUAUGAUUCACUGCACAUGGAUUAUCCUAAAAUAGAGAAACAAUUGAAAAACGGGAAACUUGCACAAAGAGUCCUUUUACAUGAUAUGGUUUCCAUAAAAAAUACCAAAAUUGAAAUAUGACGCUUUGAAAAAAAAGUGUUCUCGGAAAGAGGUAUCAUGUAUGCUUAUCUUGGCUUUCAACCCAAAAUACCAAGGCGAUAGUCAUAUCCAUGGGAAACAUGGUGGUAUUUUGCCCAUAUUCGGCACACAUGUGCAUCUUGGCAUGGCUUUAUAAUGACACCUUAUUCACAUUGAUAAGAGCCUGUAUGCAAUAGCUACGACUCUCCUAAAACAAUGUCGACCGAUGAAAUCUCUGGACCAAAAGUUGGGCAGAAAACGCCAGACCAGUGAAUGGGGUGCCAAAACAUGGAAAAGGGCGGGAAAUUGCCAAAAUUCUACCGUUGGUUGUAGCCUCACUGAAACCGACAUGUAAUUUGACCGUCGAAUAUUCAGACAACCUGGAACCCUAGCAUGCUACCAAGGCACCGACAUAAUGCAUGUAUUCUGUGCAUGCGAUACUGGCGCCCCCGCGACCAGAGGAAGGAAAAAACACCUAGACGGUACGCUAGUGCCUAAAUUUGGGCGGGAGAACACCAGAGUGGUGAGUUGGCCACCAAAAGAUGAAAAAGGGCUAGUCUUUGGCAGGUAUAAACAAGGGGGGAGGGGGGCUGGUAUUUCGGGUGCCAGAUCUUGUGAAGGUAAACAAGGAGAGAGACAUAAGAUGGAUACAAGCUGCUCCUCUGCCUUUGUUUGACUUGACCCAGCUGAAACAUAAUGUCGUUUCCAAAGAAACUUCAAUUACUGUUGAGAAGAGACAAAACCAAAUACUGCCAUUACACAAUAUAUAUCCGUCGUAAGAUAUUGAUUAAGCUAACCAAGCUGGACAUUGCCUACAGUACACCUAGAUAACUUAAUUUAUGCUAGCGACCGUGACGGCGAUCACCAAUUGAUUGUAUUUAGUGACUAAUAACCUGCCAUUGGUAUAUUUCAAAUUUUAUAUAUCAUUUGAUCCUCACCAUCGUCGGACAUGAUCGAGUCACAGAGAUAGGUACAAGUAGCUGUUCUGAGAAUAAGAAGAAAAAAUCGAUGCACUGACAAUCUCCAAUGUGUGUCCAUCUCAACCAUUUUAAAUUAAUUAGUACAAGUCCAAAUUAUCUGCUCUCCGGUAGAAACUAAAUUAGUCACGUUUGUUACGCUAGAGUUUGGUGCCAACGAACAAACCUAGCAAAUCAAUUGCACGUGGUCUCCUUAAACUACAAACAACGACAAUGAUGGAGGAGCCACUAAAUAGAAGGCCGGGCAGCGAUAGAAUGUACUUACUCAAUGGUAGCUAAUUUUUGUUGGUAAAUUGCGAGCGUUCUCCAGGGACGAACUCAAGAAGCAGUUUUUCUUGAUGAACGGACAAUAAGCUCCACCAUGCAAAAAUAUAAGGUUUCAGUUUGAGGAUCCAGCAAUAGUUCAUCAUGGAGCCUGAUGCACCAAGGUCAUAAUGCUGGUCUGGUGUGCAAAAUCCAAAGUAUGCAUCAGUUCUGCUCUCACACAUUGCGGAUCGUUCGAAUAUGCCAUCCAGAUCUUGUCUGUCCUGGAUAUACUUUUUGCUCGGAAUUAUAAAACUGUUCCUUUAUAAACUACUUACAGAAGCAUGAUUGUGGCUGUUGAACAUUUACUUUCCUUGAGUCGAAAAGACGCGCUAAUUUAGGGAAGCAGCAUGUGGGCACUGGAUAUCAUGUGCAUGCAUGUUCUUAACCCCCAAGCCACUCAGAUUAUUUGGCCCCAGAGCAAACCGCUUGGUUUGACCAGAAAAAAGACCUUCUACCCUUAUCCAUAGCAUAUGAAUGGAGAAGCAGAGCAUGAGCAGUGGGCAAACUAUCUAUCCUCUGAGAUGGACCAAGGAUAGAUAGUCGUUAGUGGCUCUAUAAAGAGGCCGGAUUCUGUCACACACAUAAGGGCUAAUUUGGCAGCAAGGUAAACGAAACCAGGGUAGCAAACCUUCGGGAGAUUAUACGCUAUUACUCACCUUCGGGAGAUUAUACGUUUCAAUCACUAUAUAUAUGACGUGCAAAAUGCAGCACACAUCCAUCACCAUCAGUUGAACUCGUGUCACACAAACUCCAUAGUCCAUACUUCUCUAGGUGUCACCUCACUAUGCUGGAUACCUCUCCAAGUCUAUAUGUGAUGGACGGACGAACCAAGGCUCACUGGGCUUAAACACCUCCGGAAUGACAACCUCUACUACAACUCAACUCUGGAUUUUCGUACCUGUGCGUUUCACCAAACCAGUUGAUUAUCACCCCACUCUGCUCUUCUCUUCUCCAUGUAGAGUAGACCAGAGUAGGGACACCGAACACAUCAAUUACCAUCACAUACUAAAGUAUAUUCUAACAGCUGCUACAACUGAAUUAAUCAAUCAUGCCCAAACACCCAUCCAUACCCACUCACUGCCAUUAUGUCCGGAAAUUGUCCAGCUUUGAACACACAAAUAAAAUAGAAUAGUCUCUAGUCUCCAUGCACUUUUACUGUUUGAUUGAUCACAAAACUUACCUCAACAGUAAGAAAAUACACAAAAUUUGUUUUUCUCUGAUAUAUGAGAUCACAGAUUUUAGCCUUUUGGCGGUUCUAUUGCCAUCAAUGGCAUUUACUAUAUUCACGGAUGCAAUUUGCUAACAAACCUUGCUAUCUAAUCUCCCUUGCACCUGCUCACGUCAAGAUUUAAACUGGAUGAGAUAAUGUAUAUGACUAUGCGUGACAUCAAGUUUAAGCAUUUAUGGUUCAGAUUUUACAUCAAGUAUAUCGUAGUGUAGUGCAGCAAGCUUAAUUCUCCAAAUCACCCAUAGCAUCGAAUGAAUGAAGAACCAAAUCGAUAAUUACAUCAGAGCUAGUCACUGCAAUAUCAGCAUAUUGUUAAUUGUUAAUGUGUAUAUCGAUCAACUUUGUUUCUUUUCAAGUAAUCUAACACAUUCAUCAAGGGAUUAAAUUGUAACCGAAUAGUACCAUUAGAAGUACAAAUAAGUUAACCAUUUCACAUUUGAUUUUCCACUAUUACUAAUUUGAUAUUUUAUCUUUUACAUUCGAAUCUUCUGAGGUUUGUGUACAUUUUGUGUUGUUUAAGACCGUCGGUCGACUGUAGAGUAGCCGCGCACCUCGUUCUUAUCCAUCUAAUCACAUGCACUAUGGUCUUUGCGUGGCAUUAAUUAAUUAGCAGUUGAUGCAACUGCUCCAUUAUUAACAAUAAAAAGGCAUCCUCGUUUAGCACGCAGGUCUUGUUUGAAUGCAUAAUCAUUUGCAUAAUAAUUAGGUAAGGCCGCUAGUUGGUGAGAAAUGCAUUGUACUUUCCUUGAGAUUAUCUGUCGACACCAAGCUGGUCAAUGGCGUGCAAUUUGAGAGCACUACCCUAUUCUCUGCGUUGUUAUAAAAAAAAUUAAGGCAAAGGGACUGUGUACCCUUUGUAUCGAAUCGACAUGUACCUAGGAUAAAAAUAAAUUAAUUGAUUCAUAAUCUAGUACAACAAAGGUAAAAUAAUUUAAAAAACACUCCCUAAAAUAAGUAUAAGAAUGUGACAAUCGCUCCCUAAAAACGGAAUGUAACAAUCACUCCUGGAAGGGGAAACAGCAAGAUACCGCAAUGCCACUCGAGCACUUUGACGUGUAGUACUGGGUAUGGGGAGAUUAUGUUGGGAUAAGAUAGUGGGUUGCCGGAGCCGGAGACCUCACCGGAGAGUUGGAAUUCCCCAUGUGGAUUCGGCUGUUGGCGAAGAAGUUGGUAAAGUGAAUGAGAGGGCGAUAGCGAACGGACACUGCACAUUCACCGGAUCUGGGCAAGGAAAGGGCACAAAUGAACAACACCUUCUUUUUCUGUUUUUAAAACGCCAAAAAGGUGUGGGUGUGUUGUGAAUCAAACUAGCGACCUACUGCUUCAACGUAAGCUGCAGUACCCACUUACUUACUAAUUUUUUUUUCACAUUUUCCUCUUUCUACUUUUCUUUUUUCUUGUUUCUGGUUCGAUGAGUUUUUUUUUCCAAUUUUGUGAACUAUUUUUUCAAAAUCAAUGAACUUUUUUCAAUUUGUAAACUUUUUUUUUCUAAAAUUGACAAAAAAUUGUAAUCAAUUGUUUUACUAUUUUUUUCCAAAUUUUGUGAUACUUUGGAAAAGUCAACUAGUCAGUUAGUGAACCGAUCAACUGGCACCAGUCAACCAGUGAGAGAUCAGAAGCGUAGGGAACGCUCAACCCGGUUGCAUUUUGCUGCGCUGCAGCGAGAUGACAUUUUCAGCCGCAACCCAUGAAUGAAGGUAGUGAGCGCCAGGGAUUCUUUUCGGUGCUUGAAGUGCCGAAUAGGAGCUCCCAUGAAUUAGAUAGCUUUCGGAUGCAAAUUCCGUUUGCAGAUCAGCGAGGCCACAAGCUUUCCAGUUGUUUUUUCCUUAAUCCAGUUCCAUCUAUGUAAAACUGCGAACGACGGAUCAACAUGCACAUGGUCAGCUCGAUCGUUACGCCAAAUGAAUACAAAUUAUGCACACACACUCCGACGUGGCGAGCGAGAGCGACUUUUUUUUUGGCGAGGGAGCGAGAGCGACUUUGUUGAGAGGACCAAACUACCAUGAUUUUAUACCAUUCUUCGUAUGAUAUUAAAACUGGCUAUUGGCUGUUUGUCUCUUGUAGACGUAUUUAAUCAGCUAUGUCAUACAAUACAAAUUAGGUGUUCCGUCGCCAUCACAUUCAACUGCGGGUAUUCUGCUCUCGCAGAUGACUGGCUCUUUCAUAAAGAAUGUUUAAGGAAGUCCUAAUGAUUGGGAAAGCCCUCCAGAUAGAAUGGUUGAAGUACUCUUCAACUUCACUGUAUGUAUUACUUUUAGCUUUGGAUGAGCUUAAUCUCCCAGGAAUAAUCUUGAAUUACCAAAAAUUCUGGAUCAUUUACGAGUAUUAGUCUAGUUCAUAUGGAAUUUUGUAUCCAAGCUAGUUGUGUACGUAUAAGUAUGAUGGUUGAUCAUGUACACGUGGUUUUUUGAGUUUGGGUUCCAAGGUGUGUCCUAAUGCUAGUAGUAAUAGGAAGUACGAGGUACGAGUAGGAUUAGUUGGUCUAUAGGUUGGCCACUUUGUGUGUGUGUGUGUGUGUGUGUGUGUGUGUGUGUGUGUGUGUGUGUGUGUGUGUUCAUCAUGUUAUAGGUGGUGAAGCACACUAAUGAGCAAGGUAAAACUCACAUCGAUCAAGGUCAGUGGCAUUUGUUGAAGUUUGUAAGGUGACUGUAGGACACCUAGGUACGUCUAUGAAGAAAAAGAGUCAGUACCGGCAAGCUCAGUGGCCAUAGUAAUAGCAGUUGUAGGAUGAACAUUUAGGAGUAUCAAGGGAGACUCGAAGAAUGGAUAGCUAGCCCAGUUGCACCUACAAACUGAUCCAGAAUUGUUUCCAAGUUUUUUGCAGCAAGUGGAGUAGCCUUGACAGCGACCAAGGUGGCAUUGACAUAUUAUGGGGUCGGGCAUAGGAGAUCUGGUUAUAGUGGUCGAGAAUAAAAUGUUCCGUUUGCCUUUGAUUAAUUAUGCGCUGUCUGUAAUUUGGUAUUCAUGAAAGUCACUAUCAUGAUUAAUUGACCAUGUUCUAGAUCUCUAAAUCAAAUUUAUUCCUGUUAACCUCAAUGUUAUAGCUACAUCGAGAUACUUAUUUUUCAUAUGCGAGUAAUUGGUUGAGCUCUCCCAGCAGGACGAAGCAGCAAAGGGAGCAAACUGUAUACCAAACUAUGGAUGAAUGCCCCAAUGGGGUAACUCGGAAAGUUUCACUCAUGCUCUAUGUCUUGCCCAAGGACAACAUACUCCGCGUGCAACUUUUUGUGUAUAUACCAGACGAUGCGCCAUCGGGUAAAUACUUUUUUUUACAAAUGGUAACAUAUUAGUAUCAAGAUGAUACAAAUUGCCAUUACAAAGAUACAAUAAACCAUUGUAGACCUCAUCGGUGUGAAAAAUUAAUUGGACGAACUAAAGUUUUGCAAUGAGAUGCUGAUGGUAGGCAUCAACAUGGACUUGGAGCUCGACUUGGAGUUGUGGUACUACUAGUAACUUUCCAGAUUGCAUGGAAAACUAUGAAUCCAAACAAGAUAACAGAUACAGUGAUGUAUAAUAUAUCAGCACAGAGAGAAGAAAAAAAAAUAGAAACUUUAAACAUGGCUACCAACGGGUUCUUCUGGUGUGUUAAGAGCCUUCGGAAGAUGAAACUGGGCUAGCUAUGGCCCUAGCCAUAAAGAACAUGGAAUUAGUGAUAGCACAACCGUGAAGGCUAACACAAAUAAGUUUCUAAGCGCCCCAACUGUGAUCAACACCAUGAUCAAAACUAUCCGCAACCGAAGAUGUAGUUAAAUCUAUCGAUGAUCCUGCCAAAUACCUCAUCUCGCUGAUUGGGAACCGGAGUCACCAUAUACGCCAGCAUGAAAACCAGGUCAGCUAUGCAUAUAGAGAAUCUCACCCAGAUAGACUGAAAAAACCGUUGGUCAAUGAGGCUCUAUUUUCUCAGCUGUAUUAUCUCUUUGUGGUGCCUAUUUUAGAGAACUCUUUGUCCAGCUCAAUAAUGUUGUGUUUUCACAGUUUUGCUGCAUGUACACUGUAUACUGUCCCCCGAACACCAAGCCUUCCAAUCCCAAGAACAAAAGGAAAGAGAUAGCAGCCCAAAAAUAGACCAAGUUAUCUUUCCAGCAUUGUCUUUCCUACCAGGAUUCGAAAUCCUUCUUGGCAAGACGAGCUGAAUUAUCUCCCACAGUCCGAAACUCACAAGAACAUCAAAAAUCCGACGUGAAUGAAUUCAAUAAAGAGCAGGUAUAGAUAAAAAAUAAUAAUCAAGUACGAAUAAAAUUGGUAGGGUCUCAGACAAUAUAUAGACCUAUUAGAACGUACAUGACACAUAUCACUGUGGACAUUGUCUAUGGCCUUAUUACAACACUAGUAGAAAACGAGCCUAUUGUCCCGGUUCAUAAGGGCUUUUUGUCCCGGUUCCAGAACCGGGACUAAAGGGUCGUUACUAAUGCCCUGACCCUUUAGUCCCGGUUCUAACCAGAACCGGGACAAAUGGGCCUCCACAUGGCCUGCGCGCUGAGCCCAGGCAGGAGGGCCUUUGGUCCCGGUUGGUGGCACCAACCGCGACCAAUAGGCCUCCACGCGUCAGCAUUUCUGUGGCUGGGUUUUUUGUUUUUUUUGAAAGGGGGGGGGGUGGGGGUUUUGGGGGGUUAAUUUAGGUAUUUCAUAUAUUGUGUUAGAUAGCUAAUUAAUAGAGAGAAGUGUCCUCUCUUAUGUCCGUGCUUGGUCGACGCUACGUAUACUAUACAUACGUAUAGAGAGGACUAGACACGCUAGCUAGCUAGUAAGCAGACGAAGGAAACAGAAAAUCGUCAUGAACAUAUAUGCAUACAGAGAGAAGUGAUAUCGACCACCUCUCCUUCUCCGAGAGAUUGGUUGAACAACAAGUUCUCGUAUAUCUAUCGUCCGACACUACCGGCUACAUAUAUACAAUAAUUAUCUCUUGCAAAUAUAAUCUCCUACAUUAUGGACGCAUGGUCCACAUAGUAUUCUCCGUCUUCAGCGAUCACGUGGUCAAGAAAGAAUGCCGCCAAUUCCUCUUGAAUUGCUCGCAUGCGAUCUGGUGCUAGGAGUUGAUUCCGCAUCCGAAACAUCUAAUUUGAAGAAGGGGGUCAAUACAUAUAUAUAUAAAUGAAUGAAACUCAACACAAAUGAUGGUAAUAAAAUAAAAUUGUGAAUAUUGUUAUUUACGCACUUCAUAUUGUUCGUCAGUGUACCCGCCCCGCUCACAGGUCGUGUGGCGGAUGGACUUGCAGACGUAGUAUCCACAGAAAUCAUUCCCUUGUUCCUGCCACAACCACUUUACAAGAAAUAGAGGUCAAUCAAACUCAUAAGCAAGAAUGCCAAAUGGUAUUGAUGAAACUAGCGCUUGAAUCACUAGGAGAUGCGCGGAACAUGCUACUAUAGUACUUACUUUCGGGUGUCUAAUUUGCAGCUCCUUCGGCAGUCCCGGAGCUUUUUGUGGUGAAUUUUCUCCAAACUCUGCCGGACAAAGAAAACAAUUAGUUGAUAUCAGGAAAUGAACAAAGUUGCUGAUAUGGUGGAUAAUGAUCGAUUUAACGUACUUCUUGAGGAUUUCAGUCAUGUCCGCAUACUCCUGGGGAUCUUUUCAUCUAGAGUCCAAGAUAGUUACUACUCCCUUCUCAAGCAUAAUCUCUAGGAGAAUAUAGUGGAAACUGCGCACGCAUGCAUAACUCAUCAAUUACAUUACUAUAACCUGGACUAAUAUAUAAGGGAAACCGAAUAUGCACAAGACAGUAACACUCACUUGAAGUUGUAAGGAAAGAGUAUUAUAUCUUUGUGUUCAUUUAUUUUGAAUGAUCGUAGCAAGUUGGCCUCGGUUUCUUCGGGCCUUUUGUCAACCUCAGUUGCAUCUAUGAGAUAUGUGUUAACGAACCCAAUAUCACCGAUUUGUCUUUUCUUCAAUUCGGCGAUCUUCAAUCUGCAUAAUAUAGUGAGCAUAAUUAUAAAUACAUGCAAUGAAAGAGCUGAGCUAUAUAGAGAGACUUAAUGACAGAAGUAGUAGUACUUACAGACAGUAGCAGGUGACCGUUGUUUUAUUGAGGGCCAAUUGUUGAAAAACUGAUAGAACUCCUCAAAUGGAAUAGGCAACAGUUCAAUUCCAACGAGGUCAUGCUCCGGUUUAACUCUCGCAUACAAAGUACUCCUCCCCCCAGACUCUCUGCAGAUUUUCAAGUACCAAUCAUGCAAUCUUCGCAUCAUCGUUGAUAGAGAUUUUUCAUCUUUGACGAGAGGCUUCCCGUACUCGUAUCUGUGUAUCUGCACAUCCAUGGGAUCAUAAUGUACUUCGUCGGGCAGGUAAUCGUCAAGAUUGCUAUAACCGGGCACCAUCCUCGGAUCGACGAUGUCGCUAGGCACCUUGAGCGGGGGGCACGAUUGCUUCGCUUGUUCGCCGAGUUGGGCAAUUUGUUUCCCAGCUGCUUGUCAUUCUUUCAGCCUUUGAUCACUUACUGUACUUCCCGACCGCUCUGCUUCGGCCCAUGUCUUUGCAAUAAUGCGCUCAUAGUUGCCUUUCGGCGGAGACUUGGGUGGUUUUGCCAGGGCAGCCAGAGUGCGGUUCACUUUCACCGGAUCUACCUUCUCCUUCGGAGGUAGAUGUCUCUUUGCUUUCAACGCUUGAAACCAGUCAUCCACCUCGGCUCGCGCGAUCCUCGCGUUCUCCUCUGGGGUCCUCUCGUAUGGUAACUUCUCUGAAGUCUUCAGAGAAGGACCGAAUCUGCAUGUCCUCCCGCCUCUGGCUGUACUGCUAGACGCCGGCCGAACAGACGGAGCGGCUUUCUUCUUUACUUGCUUACGAGGCGAAGGAGAAGGACUACGACGCAGCGGAGUAGCUGCCGGAGCGGCGGCGGGUCUCUUCCGCCCUUGCUGACGAGGCGGAGAAGGAGGAGGCUGGCUGCUCGGGCGCGCCGGCGCAGGAGGAGAAGGAGGCGGAGUGCCGCCACGCGCCAGAGAAGGAGCCGGCCGAGGGCCCUGAUCGUCACUCGUCGGAGGAGGAGGCGGUGGAGGAGGCGGAGUGCCAUGACUCACCGGAGGAGGAGGAGGAGGCGGAGGCGUCCAGUCGGAAGGUUGAUGAGCUCCUUCCGCCAUAGGCAUGGAGUCUUCAGAGAAGAACCCAGCCGAGUCUCCCCUUCUCCGGUAGGGUGGUCAAGCUGGAGGUCCUCAAAUCCCCCCGUUAUUUCAUCCACCAUCACCUUAGCAUAUCCUUCUGGAAUCGGCCGGCAGUGAAAAGUUGCGCUGGGUUCAUUAGGAAAAAUAGAGCCAACAGCCGCCUUGACCUUCAUAUUAAUCCAUUGCGUCAUAAGGUGGCAAUUUUGAGCCUCCGUGAUAGCAUCCACGGGAUAGCUGGCAGGAGCCGUCAAGACAAGCUCCGGCUGAAGCAGCUCAGUGGAAGCCACGCUGCUUCUCCGCUGAGAUGGCGGGGUAGCUUCAGGGGAAGCUUCGGCAAGUCGUUUGCUGCGAUUUGCUUCUCGUUCCUCUAUCGCUUGUACCCUUGUGUGCAGCGCCUGAAGUUCGGUCUGCUGCACUUUUUUCCUCCUCUCGUGGCUUUUGUAACCGCUUGCGUCCGGAAACCCAGCCUUCCACGGAAUGGAGCCUGGCGUGCCUCGUGUCCGUCGAGGGUGCUCAGGAUUUCCGAGGGCCUUUGUGAGCUCGUCGUUCUCUCUGUCUGGAAGGAACGUCCCUUUCUGCGCUGCAGCGAUAUAGUACCGAAGCUUCUUCAAGGGUAUGUCAAGUUGCUCGUCCGUCCAAAUGCACUUCCCUGUUACAGGGUCCAAGGUUCCGCCAGCCCCGAAGAACCAAGUCCGGCAACGGUCUGGCCAGCUCAUUGUCUCUGGUUCGAUCCCUUUUGCAACCAGAUCAUUCUCAGCCUUGGCCCACUUAGGCCGGGCUACGAGGUAGCCACCUGACCCGUGCGAUGGUGAAGCUUCUUCUUCGCAGCAUUUUUCUUGUUUGUCGCCGACAUCUUCUUACUCUUUUCCGAUGUCUUGUGGGCCACAAAUGGAGGCCAGUCAUCUCUGAUCUUCUCAUAUAUGCCCUUGAAUUCUGGUGUCUCUUUUUUCUCGACAAACCUAUUCAGGUCUUUCUUCGACCUCCUGAAUAGGUCUACCAUCCUCUUAAGAGCAAAAGACUUGAUUAAUUCCUCUUUAACUGGCUUCUCCGGAUCAUCCUCUGGCGGUAGGGUGAAAUUUGUCUUCAGCUCAGUCCAAAGAUCAUUUUUCUGCAUAUCAUUGACGUAAGACACCUCAGGGUCUUCUGUAGCCGGCUUGAACCAUUGCUGGAUGCUGAUCAGGAUCUUGUCCCUAACCAGAACCCCGCACUGAGCAACAAAUGCCUUCUUUGUUUGGAUGGGUUCAAUAGGUUGGCCGUCGGGCGCGAUUGCUAUGAUCUCAAACCUUUCAUCCGAGCUCAACUUUUUCUUCGGGCCUCAUCUCUUUACCUCAGUUGUGCUCGAUCCGGAGGGCUAGAAAAAAGAGCAAAGACUUAAUUAAUAUGUGUACAUACCAAAACAAUGAAUGCAUCAAUUAGCUAGUCAGCACAGGCUUAACUAAUAUAUAUACCUGGCCGGACUCGGUUUGAUCACCGGAGCCGUCAUCACGGUCUCCUUCUUGCACCGGCAUUGGGUCACCGGAGCCGUCCUCACGUUCUUCUUCUUGCACCGGCAUUAGGUCACCAGAGCCAGCUUCUUCACCCUCUCCUUCCAGACCAUCGGUGUCGUUGAGAAACAACGAGACGACAUCACUUCCUUGUGCGAUUAUGUCCCUCAACAUCGCUUCGUCUGCUUCGUCUCGGACGGUGUCCAUAGUUUCUACAAAUAUUUACAACAUGGCAAUUAUUAUUCAAACAUGACAAAUGGAUAUAUUAGUGGCAAACGUAGAACUAGCUAGCUAAUCAUAGUAAGGAAUCAUAUAUAUUAAUUAGUGGCCUCGAAGGUGCUUCUCUAGGGUUUGGGGUGGCCUCGACAACGCUUCAAGGGUUUGGGGUGGCCUCGAGAACGCUUCAAGGAGGGGGUAAUAUCGACCCCCCACCCCACGUGUUGAAGCUAUUGGGAGGGGUAUAUCGACAACGAUGACACUACAUCUAUGUCCCUCGACGACCCUCGUUCCCGAUAAAAAAAAAGAGGAAGAAGAAGAAAAAAAGAGGAGAAGAACUCCUCUAUUCUUUCUUCCCCUCUUUUUUUUUCUUCUUCCUCUUCUUUUUUUAUCCUCUUCGUCCUCUCAUGUUAGAGAGGAUCGCCGAGGGGUCAGGAGGUUGCCUAGUGUUAAAGGAUUCAACAAAACCAUGUCUUCAUCAUUAGGCGAAAGUAACAGGUGCAUGAUGGUACGAAGCUCUCCAAAGUUAUUUUGGAACGGAGUCCCAGAUAGGAUAAUUCGCUUUUUGGUACAAAGUUCAGCAAGAACCUUCCAAAUAUCGUUAUUUGGAAGGCCUUUGCUGAAAUUCAUAAAAAAAGGCAAAUUAUCCUAUCCGGGACACCAUUCCAAAAUAACUUUGGAGGACUUCGUACCAUCAUGCCCUGGUUACUUCUGGCUAAUGAUCAAGACAUGGAUUUCUUCAAUACUUUGACACUAGGAAACCUCUCUCGACCCCUCGGCGAUCCUCGACCCCUCGAACCCUCGACGACCCUGGAACCCUCGACCCCUAGACGACCCUGGAACCCUCGACCCUUGAUCCCUAGACCCUAUAGAACCCUCGAACCCUCGACCCUGAAACCCUCGACCCUNNNNNNNNNNNNNNNNNNNNNNNNNNNNNNNNNNNNNNNNNNNNNNNNNNNNNNNNNNNNNNNNNNNNNNNNNNNNNNNNNNNNNNNNNNNNNNNNNNNNNNNNNNNNNNNNNNNNNNNNNNNNNNNNNNNNNNNNNNNNNNNNNNNNNNNNNNNNNNNNNNNNNNNNNNNNNNNNNNNNNNNNNNNNNNNNNNNNNNNNNNNNNNNNNNNNNNNNNNNNNNNNNNNNNNNNNNNNNNNNNNNNNNNAGUUCCCGACCCUCGACCCCUCGGCGAUCCUCGACACCCUCGUUCCCGAUAAAAAUUAAGAAGAAGAAGAAGAAAAAAAAAGAAGAAAAACAGGAGAAGAUCGAAGAAAAAAAAGAAGAAAAAGAAGAGGAGAAGAAGAAAGGAAUAGUGGAGAGGAAGAGAAAAUAGAAUAUUCUAUUUUCUCUUCCUCUCCACUAUUCCUUUCUUGUUCUCCUCUUCUUUUUCUUCUUUUUUCUUCUUCUUAUUUAUUUCUCCUCUUCUUUUCCUCUCCUCUUCUUCUUUCUUUCCUCUUCUUAUUUUCUUCUUUCCUAUCCUUCUUUUUCUAAAAUUGUAACUUUUGCAUAUAUAAAACUUUUCUAAAAUUGUAACUUUCUAUAUAUGAACAAAAAACUUUCUAUGAACAAAAAAACAUUUUUAACAUAUAUAUUUAGCAAAUUCUAGCCACAUACAUCACACGCACAUAUACAUUAUAGCCACAUACACAUAUACAUCACAUAUGAACAAAAAAAAUAAACUAAUAAAAAUAAAAAAACUUAUUGCAACAUAUGAACAGAAACAUAUAGCCACAUACAUACACAUACAUUAUAUAUAUAUAUGAAAAAAAUUAAACUAAUAAAAAAAGUGGUGGCGCCGGCGGGGCAGAGGGGCAUGGCGGCAGCGGUGGCGCCGGCGGGGCAGGGCAGGGGCGGCUAGGCGGCGCGCGGCGNNNNNNNNNNNNNNNNNNNNNNNNNNNNNNNNNNNNNNNNNNNNNNNNNNNNNNNNNNNNNNNNNNNNNNNNNNNNNNNNNNNNNNNNNNNNNNNNNNNNNNNNNNNNNNNNNNNNNNNNNNNNNNNNNNNNNNNNNNNNNNNNNNNNNNNNNNNNNNNNNNNNNNNNNNNNNNNNNNNNNNNNNNNNNNNNNNNNNNNNNNNNNNNNNNNNNNNNNNNNNNNNNNNNNNNNNNNNNNNNNNNNNNNNNNNNNNNNNNNNNNNNNNNNNNNNNNNNNNNNNNNNNNNNNNNNNNNNNNNNNNNNNNNNNNNNNNNNNNNNNNNNNNNNNNNNNNNNNNNNNNNNNNNNNNNNNNNNNNNNNNNNNNNNNNNNNNNNNNNNNNNNNNNNNNNNNNNNNNNNNNNNNNNNNNNNNNNNNNNNNNNNNNNNNNNNNNNNNNNNNNNNNNNNNNNNNNNNNNNNNNNNNNNNNNNNNNNNNNNNNNNNNNNNNNNNNNNNNNNNNNNNNNNNNNNNNNNNNNNNNNNNNNNNNNNNNNNNGGACCAACGGCGUUGUGCUGCCCCGCGCCCAAAUGUUUAGUCCCACCUCGCUAGUUGAGAGGGAGCCGCACCUGUUUAUAAGGUGCGGUGCGCCUUCCCUCUCGAGCUCCUCUCUAAAGAAGGCUUUCGGGUCUAACCGUGCAAUGUGUGCCUGUGGGCCUACUGGGCCUCCCGCGGGCCUGAAUCCUGGCCCAUGGUAGGGUUUCUAGUCGUAUUCAGGCCGUGGGUGCCCAGUAGGUGGCACUUUUUUUGUUUUUUUGUUUUUUUGUUUCUACUUACAACAAAAUACUUAUUGUUGCUAUAUUUAAUUUUUUCCAUUUUUUGUUUCGUUUUCUGCAUUAUUUAUUUUCUUUUGUUUCUUGUUUUAUUUUUUAAAUCUUUUUGCUUUCUGUUAGUGCCAUUAGUUUUAAAAUUUGAAUAGUUUAAAUUUGGGUGAAUCACUAGUUUAUGAAUAACUUUAAUAUAAAAUUGAUUUUUGAGUCAAUCUUUUUCCUGCUAUUGAAUAUUACUGUUUUUUAUUAUUGUACUCAAUUUGGUAAUUUUAGUUAGUCAUAACAAAUAUUAUAGGCUUUUUUUUGCUAUUUAUUUUUUCAUUUCUACUUAGAACUAAAUACUUAUAGUUUUUUAGUGAUUUUUUUUCUUUUAGGUAACAAAAAUUAUGAACUUCUCUAUUAGUGAACAUAGAUGCACUUAUAGAGAAAAUUAAACCUAAAUUCAUAAUCAAUUUCUAUGAAUUUCGGAGAAAUUCAUUAUGAAUUUUGGUCCAAUUUCCUCUAUAGGUGCAUCUAUUUGCACUUUGAGAGGAGCUCAACAACGCAGAGAGGGAUGGGCUUAUAAACAGGUGUGGGCGCCCUUCGGUUGGCGAGGUGGGACUAAACUACGGGUGCAACGAGGGCCAACCCUUUAGUCCCGGUUUGUGUCACAAACCGGGACUAAUGGUCAUGGGCCAGGGGCGAGCCCUAUUUUUUUUCAGUUUUCAAAUGAACUCUGAAAAAGUUGGCAUAGCAUACUCGUCUGUUACAAAUUUGGCAUGGUAUCAUCAUAAUAGUUGCGUGAGAAAGUCUUCACUUUUUCUUCGCUUGUGUCAUUUGCUUAUUGCGCCAUAACCAUGGAUAAUCUUCAACAUUUAUCAGGAUGCUUGGGUCACCCUUGACAUUGAAGGGAGGAAUUUCAUGAAACCUUUCAUAAUCUUCAGACAUGUCUGUCUUGCCCUCCACUCCCAGGAUGUCCCUUUUUCCUGAAAGAACUAUGUGGCGCUUUGGCUCAUCGUAUGAUGUAUUCGUUUCCUUAUCUUUUCUUUUUCUCGGUCUGGUAGACAUGUCCUUCACAUAGAUAACCUGUGCCACAUCAUUGGCUAGGACGAAUGGUUCGUCAGUGUACCCAAGAUUUUUCAGAUCGACUGUUGUCAUUCCGUACUGUGGGUCUACAUGUACCCCGCCUCCUGACAGAUUGACCCAUUUGCACUUAAACAAAGGGACCUUAAAAUCUUGUCCGUAGUCAAGUUCUCAUAUGUCCACUAUGUAACCAUAAUAUGUGUCCUUUCCCUUCUCGGUUGUUGCAUCAAAGCGGACACCGCUGUUUUGGUUGGUGCUCUUUUGAUCUUGGUUAAAAUGUAUUCCCAUUUAUGUCGUGUCCUUUGUAAAUCAAUACAGUGAAAGAUGGUCCCCUGAACAACAAGUACAACUCAUCACAAACAGUGUUGUCACCUCUGAGACGUGCUUCCAACCAACUGCUGAAAGUCCUAAUGUGUUCACAUGUAAUCCAGUCGUCGCACUGCUCCGGGUGUUUGGAGCGCAGACUGUUCUUGUGUUCAUCGACAUACGGGGUCACCAAGUAGAGUUCUGUAGAACUGUGUAGUGUGCUUGAGACCAAGAAUGCCCGUCCCUGCAUAUUAUUGAGUCCGCUCCUAGCAUGCCUUUUCCAGUCAGUCUCCCCUCAUACCGCGAUUUAGGGAGACCUAUCUUCUUAAGGCCAGGAAUGAAUUCAACACAAAACCCGAUCACAUCCUCUGUUUGAUGGCCCAUAGAGAUGCUUCCUUCUGGCCUAGCGCGGUUACGGACAUAUUUCUUUAGGACUCCCAUGAACCUCUCAAAGGGGAACAUAUUGUGUAGAAAUACGGGCCCCAGAAUGACAAUCUCGUCGACUAGAUGAACUAGGACAUGCGUCAUGAUAUUGAAGAAGGAUGGUGGGAACACCAGCUCAAAACUAACAAGACAUUGCGCCACAUCACUCCUUAGCCUUGGUAUGAUUUCUGGAUCGAUCACCUUCUGAGAGAUUGCAGAGAGGAAUGCACAUAGCUUCACAAUGGCUAAUCGGACGUUUUCCAGUAGAAGCCCCCUCAAUGCAUGCAGAAGCAGUUGCGUCAUAAUCACGUGGCAGUCAUGAGACUUUAGGUUCUGGAACUUUUUCUCUGGGAUAUUUAUUAUUCUCUUUAUAUUUGACGAGAAGCCAGUCAGGACCUUCAUACUGAGCAGGCAUUCAAAGAAGAUUUCUUUCUCUUCUUUCGUAAGAGCGUAGCUGGCAGGACCUUCAUACUGCUUCGGAGGCAUGCCGUCUUUUUCGUGCAAACGUUGCAGGUCCUCCCGUGCCUCAGGUGUAUCUUUUGUCUUUCCAUACACGCCCAAGAAGCCUAGCAGGUUCACGCAAAGGUUCUUCGUCACGUGCAUCACGUCGAUUGAAGAGCGGACCUCUAGGUGUUUCCAGUAGGGUAGGUCCCAAAAUAUAGAUUUCUUCUUCCACAUGGGUGUGUGUCCCUCAGCGUCAUUCGGAACAGCUAGUGCGCCGGGACCCUUUCCAAAGAUUACGUGUAAAUCAUUGACCAUAGCAAGUACGUGAUCAGCGGUACGCAUGGCGGGCUUCUUCUGGUGAUCUGCCUCGCCUUUGAAAUGCUUGCCUUUCUUUCGACAUUGAUGGUUGGUCGGAAGAAAUCGACGAUGGCGCAGGUACACAUUCUUCCUGCAUUUGUCCAGGUAUAUACUUUCAGUGUCAUCUAAACAGUGUGUGCAUGCGUGGUAUCCUUUGUUUGUCUGUCCUGAAAGGUUACUAAGAGCGGGCCAAUCAUUGAUGGUCACGAACUGCAACGCCUAUAGGUUAAAUUCCUCUUGUCUGUGCUCAUCCCACGUACGUACACCGUUUCCAUUCCACAACUGUAAAAGUUCUUCAACUAAUGGCCUUAGGUACACAUCAAUGUCGUUGCCGGGUUGCUUAGGGCCUUGGAUGAGAACUGGCAUCAUAACGAACUUCCACUUCAUGCACAUCCAAGGAGGAAGGUUAUACAUACAUAGAGUCACGGGCCAGGUGCUGUGAUUGUUGCUCUGCUCCCCGAAAGGAUUAAUGCCAUCCGCGCUUAAAGCAAACCAUACGUUCCUUGGGUCCUUUGCACACUCAUCCCAGUACUUUCUCAUGAUUUUUCUCCACUGCGACCCGUCAGCGGGUGCUCUCAACUUCCCGUCUUUCUUACGGUCCUCACUGUGCCAUCGCAUCGACUUGGCAUGCUUUCCGUUUCUGAACAGACAUUUCAACCGUGGUAUUAUAGGAGCAUACCACAUCACCUUCGCAGGAACCCUCUUCCUGUGGGGCUCGCCGUGAACAUCACCAGGGUCAUCUCGUCUGAUCUUAUACCGCAAUGCACCACAUACCGGGCAUGCAUUUAGAUCCUUGUAUGCACCGCGGUAUAGGAUGCAGUCAUUAGGGCAUGCAUGUAUCUUCUCCACCUCCAAUCCUAGAGGGCAUACGACCUUCUUUGCUGCGUAUGUACUGUCGGGCAAUUCGUUAUCCUUUGGAAGCUUCUUCUUCAAUAUUUUUAGUAGCUUCUCAAAUUCUUUGUCAGGCACAGCAUUCUCUGCCUUCCACUGCAGCAAUUCCAGUACGGUACCGAGCUUUGUGUUGCCUUCUUCGCAAUUGGGGUACAACCCUUUUUUGUGAUCCUCUAACAUGCGAUCGAACUUCAGCUUCUCCUUUUGACUUUCGCAUUGCGUCCUUGCAUCGACAAUGACCCGGCGAAGAUCAUCAUCAUCAGGCACAUCGUCUGGUUCCUCUUGAUCUUCAGCAGCUUCACCAGUUGCAGCAUCAUUGGGCACAUCGUCUGGUUCCUCUUGAUCUUCACCAGAUCCCCCCGUUGUAGCAUCACGGUAUUCAGGGGACACGUAGUUGUCAUCAUACUCUUCUUCUUCGUCGUCUUCCAUCAUAACCCCUAUUUCUCCGUGCCUCGUCCAAACAUUAUAGUGUGGCAUGAAACCCUUGUAAAGCAGGUGGGUGUGAAGGAUUUUCCGGUCAGAGUAAGACUUUGUAUUCCCACAAUCAGGGCAUGGACAACACAUAAAACCAUUCUGCUUGUUUGCCUCAGCCGCAUCGAGAAACUCAUGCACGCCCUUAAUGUACUAGGAGGUGUGUCUGUCACCGUACAUCCAUUGCCGGUUCAUCUGCGUGCAUUAUAUAUAAUUAAGUGUCCAAAUUAAUAGAAGUUCAUCAUCACAUUAAAACCAAAGUACAUACAUAGUUCUCAUCUAACAACAGAUAGCUCUCCAGAGCAUCUAAUUAAUUAAACUAUACAUUGAAACUAUGUAAAACAUUUAAAUGCGAAAACAAAGGCGAUCAUAAUCGCAACCAAGGUAACAAUUGAUCCAACAGCAUAAUGAUACCAAGCCUCGGUAUCAAUGGCAUAUUUUCUAAUCUUUCUAAUCUUCAAGCGCAUUUCAUCCAUCUUGAUCUUGUGAUCAUCAACGACAUCCGCAACAUGCAACUCCAAUAUCAUCUUCUCCUCCUCAAUUUUUUUUAUUUUUUCCAUCAAGAAAUUGUUUUCUUCUUCAACUAAAUUUAACCUCUCGACAAUAGGGUCGGUUGGAAUUUCCGGUUCACAUACAUCCUAGAUAAAUAAAAUCUAUGUCACGUUGGUCCGCAUAAUUUUCAUAAACAAUAAAUGAACCAAUAGUUAUAAAGAUUAAUAUAUAUACCACAUCCGAAUCAUAGACAGGACGAGGGCCGACGGGGGCGGAUACCAAAACCAUCGCACUAUAUAAGAUGCAAUAAUAAAAGUAAGAAAAUGAUACAAGUAUCUAUCUAAACAUACAAGUAAGAAUAUUUUUCCUUUCAGAAAGAAGAUAAGAACAAGAGGCUCACCACGGUGGUGUCGGUGAUGAGAUCGGCGCGGGUGAUCUACGGCGGUGAAGACGGGGGUGGGGCGUGAUGGACCGCUAAAUCUAGACAAAUCUCGAGGAAAAUGGAGCUUUGAGGUCGAGCUUUGGGAGGAGAAAGCUUAACUAGUGUGGCUCGGGCAUUUCAUCGAACACCUCAUGUGCAUAGGAGGUGAGGUAGAGCACCACAAACCCCUCCCCUUGCCAGCCCAGAAAAACAGAGCACUGGAGUGCUCUGCUCGCGGGCGAGGGUAUAUAUAGGCACCUCAUUGGUCCCGGUUCGUGGCAUGAACCGGGACUAAAGGCAACCCUUUGGUCCCGGUUCAGGCCACGAACCGGGACCAAUGGUGGUGGGCCAGGAGCCAGGCCCAUUGGUCCUGGUUCGUCCCACCAACCGGGACCAAAAGGUCCAAACGAACAGGGACCAAUGGCCCACGUGGCCCGGCAGCCCCCCUGGUCUCACGAACCGGGUCCAAUGCCCCCAUUGGUCCCGGUUCUAGACUGAACCGGGACUAAUGGGCUGACCCGGCCUGGACCGUUGCCCCCUUUUCUACUAGUGCAAGCAACAAGAGAAAUUACAUAGGCGUGUGAGUGCGCGCGCACGCACACACACGUGCACACAUGCAUGACAUACAUCGAUUGACUAGAGGUCGCCCCAUAUAGUCAACAAUUUAUUGGAGGUAAACAUUAGCAUAACUUGGCCAUAGAUCGAAGCAAUCCAACAUAUGCCGAUGAAUGGCAUCCAUGUUGGUAGCAAUGCAAGCAUAUCGUUUUAGUACAGUCCUUCCAUCUUCGAAGCCACUCGCAUUUCAUCCAUCUUAGCAACCAC